GUUUUUUUUUUUUUUUUUUUUUUGCAUCUGGGGAGAGAUUUAGGCUUAGUUUGGGAGUUUAUGAAGGAAGAGCAAAGAUAACUUGAGGAAAGAAAGGAAAAGAAGGGAAAAGAUGCAUAUGUCAUUUGGGAGUUCAAUGAAACAAAAGAAAAGAAACAUCUUUCUCUUAUUUGAGAGUUGGAGAGAUAUGAAAAGAAGAGAUCUUAUAAGAAUACAACUUUACGUAUUUGCCCUUUCAAUUUUUAAAUCAAAGCCCAAAAUUUGCUUUCUUGUUCCAAUAAACAGAAUAUUUGGGCAAAAUAAAUUUCUAAAACAAUUACAUAUACAUUCUCACAAGGUGAAUAGUAAUAUGUUGAGUUCUCAAAUGGUGCAAGACAAAUUUCUGAUACAUCAAGCAUGAUAACUUUUUUAUGUCUCUAUACGCAUGCCUUUAUGGGAUCGGCAUUGUUAUCCAAACUAGGAGGCAUAAACGUGUUUCGCACAAUGAAAAUGUAAAAUGCCCUACCCACUUUUGUAUAGAGCAAAAAGCAAAAUAUAUGAAAUAAUAAAACUCGCGUAUUACAACCAAUUCUCUAUAUCUUUUUUUUUUUUGAAAAGUCUUUAAUUCAUAAUUAAGUGUUUACAUUUUAAAUCGCAUAUAAAUGACUGAAAAAAAGAAAAAAAUAAGUGUUUAAUAGUUACAUAUAAAAAAAAGUAAGGGAACCAUUUUCCCUAUAAACUACCAGCUCUUUAUGUGUUUUCUUUAUCAAAUAAAAAUUACCAGCUUUUUGCAGGCAUGAUUUUCUAAAAUAGAAUUUUUUACCUUUUAUUGUACCUACAACUGGUUUUCUUACUUUUUAUUAUUAUCCUUGUAAACAAAAUAUGGCUAUGAUUUUUGAUUAAUAAUAUGCUUAAAGAAAGCAAAAUUAUUACAAAACAAAAAGAAAAUAUACAUUAACUAAGUAUUGUAUUUUUAGGCAACUUAACAUCAAUUUUAUUAUGAUUCUUUCUAAAUAAUUCUAACUAAUAUAGACAAAAACAAAAAAAUUAUUGAUGAAAGUAUAGGACUAAGAAGAGCUCCCACUAACCCUCCAAUUGUUUUUUGUUACUAGUUGAAAGUAUAGGACUGAGAAGAGCUUUGCAUCGAUGCCUUUACCAUCAGCUUUAGGACACAUUGGAAAUAAUAAAUUUUUGUAUCAACUUUUAAAGUACAAAAUUGUCAUAUUGAAAAUAAGUUUUGGCGCCCACGAAGUUUCCCUCCUUUUCUUCCCAAUUUUGGGCGGAAAAAUUUUUCGCCAAUUGGAGGGGCUUUUAUCCAUUCAUUUCAUUUUUUUCCAUCCUUGUUUUAACUCCCAAAGAAACAAAAUGAUAAGACUUUCUUUCAACAUCCUAUUUUAUGCACGGUUGAGAUGAAGCUACAACACAAGUUUUCUGUCCAUAGUUAUCGUUCAGAAUAUUUAACAAAUAAUCCGGUUUCUGUGUCUUGCAUGACCAAGUCUUAGUAUUUGAAGUCACACACCUGAGUGGAAGCAUAAUAUAUUAUAAUUAGAUCGCCGUUAGCCACUAGGAAUUUUUUUUCCAGUCUUCCACUAAGGAAAUACUGUGUACUUUUUCAACUAAGUCACUCCCCAGAGUGGAAGGACUUUUAACUUUUGUUUUCAUCCUGUUUAGCUUCUAAUUGUCAAAGCUCAUCAUUUUGAUUUAUCCUCGAACUUUGGCAAUUAGUUUUAAGUGGUCCUUAUGUCCCAGUUGAUCUACUGAGAUCCCACCCAAGGCUGUAAAAAUACAUGUCUUGAAUUGCAAUAAAUCCUCAAAAUGCGUUUCAUGAAAUGUUUUCACUUACUGAUUUGUUCCAUAGUUGCUUUUCUUUGUUUUUCUGACUAGGUACCGACUAAUCUUUCUUGAUCACUCUUGAACUAUUGAAGCAACUGUUUGCCAGUGUUUUUGCAAAAUUAACAAGGCUACUUAAUUGAUCAUUUAGGCAAGUUUUGUACAUAUAACUGUAGUAGUCAUAAUUGAUCCCGAGUCCCAAUGAGUUAAUCAUGUCCAUAGGGACUUUUAGGUAGGAUGAGUUUAAGAUUUUUUUUUUUUUUUUGAAAGAAAUGAGCUUAAGAUAUUUGAAUUUGGGUCUUAAAUGGGAUUAAUCUCAAAAAUACCCAACACAAAAUAGGAAUACUUGGGGGGUAUUUGGCUCUAGAGAAGUAGUGAAGUAUCGCAAUCAGGUCAAGUACAAAUAUUUCCACGCAAUGAUUUUAGGCAUACGUGCUUUAGAGAAUGAUGUAUCUUUUGCCUUAAUGUCUAUGUCAAGUAAACUUGGCAAGAGUAGAUAGAUCUAGGAGUUAAAAUAGAUAAUCUAAGGGCAUAAGAGUGUUCUCCACGAUUCAUAGUGGUUGACCACCACAAAAAUUUUGACCACCGCAAAGACUUUUAGUUUACUCUGUCUGUUUUUCAUUAGCAUCAUUAGGAUAGUUUUUCCAAAGGUGUUUCAACCUUAGUCAGUUGUUCGCAGUCUUCCCUAUCAAUUUCCUCUUUAAUAAAUCGAAAUCCAUACUACUGAGACCAAUAUAUAAUGCAAUCCCUCUCCCUCCUUCAUGUAGCAACAUUGGCCAUGGAGAAAUUUCACCACCUUUCCCCACUUGGACUUGUGUUGCUAUGUUUUCUUUCAGCUUCCUUCGCCAUGUUCCCGACCAAUAUUACCACUGAUCAGUCAUCCCUUCUUGCCUUGAGAGCUCACAUUUCGGUUGACCCUCUACAAAUCUUGGCCAAAAACUGGUCUGUUGGCUCUUCGGUCUGCAAUUGGAUUGGAGUCUCUUGUGGCUCUCGUCAUCGUAGAGUGACCGGCUUAGAUAUUUCAAACAUGAAUCUUUCCGGCACCUUACCUCCACAACUGGGAAAUCUAUCAUUUCUUGUUUCUCUUGACAUGAGUGCGAACAACUUCCAUGGAGAACUACCACAUGAGUUUGUUGGAUUGCGGCGAUUAAAACUACUUAAUUUGAGUGUCAACAAUCUCGAAGGAGAGUUCCCCCAGUGGAUUGGUUCAUUUCCUCAACUUCGUCGCCUGUCUCUUAGAAAUAAUAGUUUCACUGGUCUUAUCCCAUCUUCCAUCUCUAACAUGUCAAACCUACAGUAUAUAGCUCUUUAUAACAACCAUCUGGCAGGACACAUUCCCACGGGGAUUUUCAAUAUUUCCUCCCUGCAAAGCAUUGCCCUUGCAAAUAAUAGCCUAUCCGGUGUUCUUCCAAGUGACAUGUGUUACCAUCUUCCUGGACUGCGUUUUCUUGACCUAUCAUGGAACAAGUUAUAUGGUCAAUUACCAUCAAGUAAUUUAGCUCAAUGUUCAGAACUUCGGGUGCUGUCUUUGUCUUUCAACGAAUUUGGAGGUUCCAUACCAAAAGAAAUUGGAGCACUGAAGAAGCUUGAGCAGCUGUACUUGGGUAACAACCAUUUAGAAGGUAAGACCCUUGCUAAUUAAUUCUUUCACCGUAUAUGGACAAAGCCAAAUAGCACAUGUCUUGCACAAUUUUCACUCUAUCUUUCCAGAUUCCAACUCAAAAAGCAAAAGAUAAAAGAAAAAUUUAGAGCUGAAGAUUGUUUUCUGCCGAAUGAAUUCUCAAAAUGCUGCCUCAAGGAAAGAAUGGUUACCAAAGAUUUUCAGAAUUUUUGGUUCCUUUACAGCUAGGAAGACAAGGGAUAAAUGCAGUAGAUAAGAAUAUGGUCCUGAUGGACAAGUUAAUGGCGAAAACAUAUUCAUAUUUUCUUAGGGCUCUACAUAAUAGGAAAAAAAAAUUGAAAAUAAAGUUAAUUUUCACAUGCAUUUACUUUAAAAUGUCUUUUUUUAAUUCCAAAACGAGCAAAUUUCAAAAUGUUGAGGGGUGCCGGGAUGUGGCCAAUUUCUCGCUUUUGGCCCAUUAAUUUUCUCAUUUACUUUUCUUCAAAACGUCCAUCAAAGAUCUGAACUUGUUGAUAUUUAAUUCCAUUUCAUUUUUGCAGGCAAAAUUCCAAAAGAGAUUGGUAAUUCAACUAUGAUUAAAAUACAAAGUUUUGCAUACAACAACUUAACAGGUACAACAAUUUUCUCAAUGGCAGAAAUUAGAGACUUCUAUGGUUUAAUAUAUGUGGCCAAUAUUAUUCUGACAGGUGUAAUACCACGAGAGAUUGGUAACUGGUACUUUCUCCAACAACUCGAGAUGGAAUUCAAUAGCUUAACUGGUUCCAUACCAAUGGAGAUCUUCAACCUCUCAAAGUUGAGUGUUAUGUCACUUGCACAAAAUCAACUUUCGGGCAAUCUUCCAUCAACAUUCGGUUAUGGGCUUGCCAAUCUAGAAGAGCUUUAUCUCGACAUUAAUUACUUUUCUGGAGCAUUACCUAGUUCAAUCUCAAAUUCUUCUAAUCUCCGUCUCAUAGCAAUUGGUUAUAACAAGUUCACGGGUCCAAUUCCCACUUCCAUGGGAGACUUGAGGUUCCUUGAAUGGCUGGAUCUAAACGGCAACCUUUUAGUGAGCGACUCCUCAUCUCCAGAGUUGAGCUUCAUCACUUCGUUGGCAAAAUGCCAAUAUUUGGCAAGAUUGGACUUGAGUGGCAAUCCAUUGAAUGGGAUCAUUCCGGACUCACUCAGUAAUCUUUCAACUUCUCUAGGAAAAUUACGUGCAUCGGAUUGUAAAAUAAAGGGCAGCAUUCCUGAUGGAAUUGGAAACUUGAGAAGUUUGAUCCUAUUAGAUCUAUCAAACAAUGACUUAACUGGGUCGUUGCCAGCUACAAUAAAAGAUUUGCAAAAGCUUCAAUACAUGGAUCUCAGUAUGAACAAACUAAUUAGCAGAGUCCCCCUGCAUUUGCUCUGUGCUCUCCACAACUUGGAUACAAUGAACCUUGGACAAAAUCAAUUUAUGGCCUCAAUUCCAAAGUGCUUCGGAAAUCUUACUUCCCUGAGGCAUCUCAACCUAAGUCACAACAGACUAUAUUCUGCUCCACCUGAGGAAAUAUGGAACCUAAAAGAUCUCUUGGAGCUUGACCUCUCCUCAAAUCUGUUGAGUGGAUCUUUGUCGUAUGCUAUUACGAAUAUGAAGAUGGCAAAUUGGGUGGAUUUGUCAACCAAUCAGUUCUCAGGUGGCAUCCCUGGCUCAAUUGGAGAUAUGCAGAACCUGCAAAAUCUUUCUCUAGCACACAACAGAUUGCAAGGAUCAAUCCCAGAAUCGAUUGGUAAGGUGUUCAGCUUGGAGUCAUUGGAUCUUUCACAUAACUUUCUCUCUGGAUCAAUUCCAAUGUCAAUGGAGAACCUUCGGUAUCUUAAAUAUGUCAAUCUCUUUUUUAACAAUUUAAGUGGUGAAAUUCCAUCCCUAAACUGCUGCACUGCCGAGUCCUUCGCUUCAAAUCAAGCCCUCUGUGGAGCUCAAAGGUUUCAUGUGCCCCCAUGUCCAAAUAAUUCAGCUCACAAAUUGAGAACAAAAAAGCUGCAUCGAACCAUUUUUAUUCUACUAGGGGUAAUAAUAGCAGUGGGAGCCUUGUCCUUUGGAUUUGUUUACCUCAGAUAUCGAAAGAAAGAUACAUUUUCCAGUGGAGCAAAUUUAUCCUUAGUUGCAAUGCCAGAAAGAAUUUCAUAUUUUGAACUUCUACAAGCAACUAACGGGUACAAUGAAAGCAAUCUGCUGGGGGGUGGAAGCUUUGGAUCUGUUUAUAGGGGCACUCUUGAUGAUGGAAGGGCUGUGGCUGUUAAAGUGUUCAAUUUACAAGUCGAUGGAGCGUUCAAGAGUUUUGAUGUAGAAUGUGAAGUGUUGCGCAAUCUUCGCCAUCGAAACCUCACAAAAGUCAUCAGUAGUUGCUCUACCCCUGAGUUUAAGGCAUUAGUGCUUGAGUUCAUGCCUAAUGGGAGUCUUGAGAAGUGGUUGUAUUCCCACAACUAUUUUCCUAAUCUGAUGCAGAGACUGGACAUAUUGAUUGAUGUGGCAUGUGCAUUGCAAUAUCUCCACUGUGAGUAUUCAACUCCAGUAAUUCACUGUGAUCUGAAGCCAAGUAAUGUGCUGCUGGAUCAAGACAUGGUUGCCCAUCUAAGUGAUUUUGGCCUUACAAAGUUGUUGGGCGAGGAGAACAGCAUCACAUACACCGAAACACUAGCCACACUUGGCUAUCUCGCUCCAGGUGAAGAAUUUUCUCGUACAACUGAAGUACUAUUUCCUCAGUUGUUUGCUGUUGCAAAUUCCAAACUAAAAAAAUACAAUCAAUUUAAGAACAUAUGAUGAAUUUAUAUGUGUUUUGCAGAGUAUGGGUUGGAAGGAUUGGUAUCAGCAAAAUGCGACAUCUAUAGUUUUGGAAUUAUGAUGAUGGAAGUCUUCACGAGAACAAAUCCCAACAGUGAAAUGUUUGGUGAAAAUUUGAGCCUGAAGAGCUGGGUUGCUAAUUCAAUGCCUGAUGGAUUAGCUAAUGUCAUCGAUGCUAAUUUGCUCAAGGAAAGUGAUGAAUGCAUUGGUGAAAAGCUAAGCUGCAUAGCCUCAAUCAUGAAGUGGCUCUAGGCUGCACGAUGGAGUCUCCAAGAGAGAGAAGCAGCAUACAAGAUAUUCUUGUUGAGCUGAAAAAGAUCAAGCUUCAGUACAUGAGUCCCCUCUGUUCAGGGACAUAAUGGUGCGUGCAUUUUCUCUAAGCAAGAUUGCAACCUUCUUGAUUGUCUCAGUUACAAAUUUGCGGGGCGGAGAAAAAUCUCAACAAGAUUAGGCCAAGUAAGAAUAGCAUUUAACCAGUAGACUAGGCAAUUAUGCCCUAUACAAUAAUAGAUCUGUUUAAAUGGUGCCUAUGGGCACUCGUUAAGAUGUAUUUCGGAUAUUAUAUUUAAAAAAAUAUAAGAUUAAUUACCAAAAAGUGUAUAAAUGCCAGGAGAUUAAUUAGAGAAAGUGUAUAAAUGCAAGAGUAAGUAGUAAUUAUUAGUGUGUGUAUAUACAUAGUAAGUUGGAUGAAAUAUAAGUGUCUUAACGAGUGCCCAUAGGACAUCCGUUAAAAAAAUCCUAUAAUAAUUGUUUUCUUAUUUCUUUUCUUUCCACCUGAUUGAUCGCCCUUAAUUUGUAAUAAUAAAGUUAUCUCACAAUAUUCACCAAUCCCAUUAUGGGUACCAAAGGACUUGUAAUCCUUUUCAUAGUGACUCAUUACUAAAUCCAUGUCAUGCAUAAUAAAACUACUUUUGAGCCAUAGAUGGAAAAAGAAAUAAUAAAUAGUGUGUCAAAAAAGUUGCAAUUAGUAGGUAAAGGGAUAGGUUGCAAUUAGGGCCAUUCCUUUUUCCAAAUUUUGAAACAUUUAAAUGCACAAGUUUGGGUCAAAAAUAUAACUCAUUUUCGUGUUUGGCUCAAAAGGGUAAAUUAAAGUUGCAAACGAAUCGAGUCACUCGUGAUCAGAGUCCAAGCUCGACUCGAGCUCGGUCAACAUCAAUCGAGGUCGAGCUGAUAACUUAAAUUCGAGUUCAAAAAUAUUAAACUCGUUAACUUGCGAGGGGCUCGAACUCGAUUGUAUUUUUUUAUUUUUAUUUUAAUAAUAAAAUUACAUAUAUAUCCCUAAUAUUUUAUUAUUUGUUAAGAAAAAUUAUUAUCUUAUUUAUUUUUUAAAAAAUAAAAUAAAUUUUUUUAUUUUUUUAAACUCGAGCUCAAGCUUUAUAUUUUGAGAUCGUCGAGCUCGAGCUCUAGUUUGAAUUUCAUAAACUUAGGUUGAGGCUUGACUCAAUUGAAUCAAAACUCGAUUCGACCAGACUCAUUUACACCCUUACAAUAAACUAUGACUAUUUUGAUAUCACGUACCUACAUUUCCCACGACCUUUUAGGCUUUGUUUGGGACUAAGUGUUUGAGAAAUAUCAUCUCAUAAAAUUAGGAGUAGACCUUUUGGUGUUCAAAACACUUUUAGUAAAAACUCAAAUUUUGUGCUUUUAGAGUAAAUUUUGUGAUUUAAAGAAUAAAACAUCAAUUUUAAUUAUCUUAUCCAAUAUUAUGAACCAAAUAAAGAGAUAAAUACUUUUAAAAAUUUUCAAAUUACACAUUAUCUAAUACAAUAAGUAGUUAUUGAAUUAUGUCUCCAACAAUAUGUUUAAAAGCACUUAAGCAGUUGAUAAAUACUUUUAUUAAAAGCUCCACCAAGAAAGUACUUUUCAAUAAACUACCGUAACCCCAAACGGCCCUUAAUAUCACUUAUUAUGAUAGGGGUUUACAUUAUUACAGCACUCAAAACAUAAGAGGUGCUACGCAUAAUUGUCAGAAGCCUAAAGGGAGGUUUACAAAAUUAUCCCAACUACAAAUUUUGCAACCAGGAUUAGGCACUAUAACAGAAGUUCAAAAUGUACCAGAUACAAUAUCAUAGAUUAUAUUACCACUUAAUUAAGAGAAUCUUCUUUAGAAGAAAAAAAUACAAACAGAGCAAUUAGCCUCUUCCAGCAUCUUGGAUGACUUUAUGAUGUUUCCUAAGCAACAAAAAAGCCCUCCACAAUCAUCGAUAUGGUGACACACCAAGCAGUGAGUCUAGGCCAGACAACUGACAUUGAAGAAAACUGUAAACUGACUCAGUCGUUAUUGCAGCAAUUCGAACCACAACACCUCUUCCCUGCGGAAAACAGGGAGGAGUUGGCAUGUCUUCAAAUGAAGAAUGUAACAGUAUAUUUAGUUAAACAAAAUUUGACGUAUCAAACAAUUUGUACAAAUGCUAAAAUUUCCCUGACUUGACGAUGCAGAGAUGGAAUUUUCACUACAUCAGUGUCAGUAUAGAGGAAGCAGAAAUUUCAGAAGCUAUGCCAAACAUUCUUACAGAAAAUGUUACUUCAGUUUAAGAAAAGAAGCAUUUUUUACAAUAAGGAGUUCAAGAGAAAGCAUGACCGCAAGGUGGAAAGCUUGUCAAUCUUCAAGUCUAACCAUCUGUGAUUGUAACGGAGAAAGGCAAAAUUCUGAAGAGGCAAAUUUAGGCUAUACAUAAAUCAAUCUUCCACAAGGCAUACGAUGAUCCAUGAAAGAUUAACAUUUAAAAGGAAAAAAAAUACCACAAUGCCUAAUAGCAAAAUCAUGUAAUAUACUUGCUCAUGUCCUGUAACCCACUGAUUAGUAUAAGAUUCUCAAAGAGCUAUCCAAAGACAUUAAAAAUUCCAUGAGGAUCUUCAAGCAUAUAUGACACGACUAGUAGAAGACCCUGACUGCAAUUGUAGAUGUGAAGCCUUGCAGAUUAGUCAGUGGUAUUAAACAAGCACUAAAAUAAAAUUUCCUUGGAACAGAACCUAUUGAAUAUUGACUGUAAAAAGAGCCUACCAUUGCAAGAAAACUAACACCCAUGUGAAAAAAAUCUACCUUUGGACCAAAGACGCUGCAGGAAGCCAAAAAGCUCGGUCUGGUGAAGAAAGGAUUGUCAUCGAUAUCUCCAUAUCGUCCAGAGCUACCUGAAGGAAUACGUAAUUGCUGAGACAUCAAGUUUUUCACAUUUUCCUGAAUUUGGUCUUGAAUGAACUUCAGCUUUGGCCUAGAAUUAAAAAGAUUUGUAGCCUCUCAGUUAACCAAGAUUAAGCAGUGGAAAGGAAAUAAUCAUAUAAAGAAUAAAAGUACUGGUUAAAUUAAUUCAUCGAGUCAACGCAUACCCCAAAAGUAUAACCAUCGCAAUUACUUGAUAAUCUUGCAUCCGUUCAGCAAUACUGCUAUACCUUCCCUGCUCUAGCAAUAUCUAUGAUCAAAGUAAAACAAUCUGAGCCAUUUAAAUGAGAAGGAUAACGAUCAUCUAGAUACAACAGAGUCAAUCUUGUAGAAGGAAAAACAUCAGAGAAGAGAACUGAAUUAAAGGUAACCAUUCUUGGAUCAACAUUCUUUAAUUAGUUCAGAUGUAAAGAAAACAAAAUGAGUUUGUUUUAGAGUCAGAUGUAUAGAAAAUACCGAAAGCAAGAGUCUCCCAACACAAGGGAGUCAAGAAACCCAAACGCAGAGAGCAUUCUGAGACUUCACCAACAACUAACGAUUAUUCAUGUGUGAAAAAGAAAAACAAAAGAUUCCUGAUAGAGGAAAAAAUUAGCUAAAUGAUCUCCAUGUUGAAGACAAUAGAAGCCUGGGUAACAUAACACCUGUGCAUGCCAAAGUGCUAGAUGAUCUUUAAGCAAGCCAAAGUUCAAAACGUGCACCGAAGUUCCAAGUAAAUCAGUUUGAAGAUCUGAAGCUUGUAUCUCCAUGAGAUGUUUGCAUUUGAUUAUUUCAACUAAUACCAACAUUAAUUGCUAUGGAGAAACCUAUUCUCCAGGCUCAGUCCAUCAGAAUUAAGCAAUUUCAUCCAAAAGAUCUUUUUUUUUUUUUUGGGAAUUCAUCUCAAAGAUGUUUCCUAUCAUUAAGGCAUCUAAUCGACAUUUGCUCAAAGUUGUUUGACAAAAUUAAUUUACCAUGUUCCUGUAAACUGCGGUUGCCAUGAUUACAAUAUUCUUUUGUCCAACAUGACAUAUAUUCCCAGGACUAAGGCCUGUAUAUGCAUAAAUUGACUAAAAGGACAUUAAAUGACCACAAGUUGAAAGCUCGAAAGCAAUUAAAACAAAAAAAAUACAACAUUCAACAUAAAUCUAAAGAUAUUAAAGAUUGACAUGAAUCUAUUGCAAGCAAUAGUUCAAAAAAUAAAAAUUUCUUAUAAGAUUAAAAUACUUCAAUUUCGCCACUCUCUUCAAUAUCACACGCUUAGUAUACAAUGAUGCUAGCAUAGUUAAAAAACAUGGCUUGAGGAUGACAAUACCGUGUCAAGAAACAAAGGUUCAUCAGCUUCUAGAAAAAUGUUGUUAGUGCUCUUGUAAAGUUCAAAGUCCCACUUUUCACCUCUUCCAUAGCGGCCACUAGUUAUCCAAUCAACAAUGAGCAAGCUGGAGCUGGGAAAGACUUUGAAUACUUGAGUUUGAGAAUACUUUGCAGUUGAAAAGCAUGUAACUGGAUCUGGAAUCACAGCCAAAAGGGCAUCACUUCCAAUUCUUGCCUACUGUGCAUCACAAAAAAGCCGCUUACCAAUAGCUUUAAAACACAGGAAAGAUAUUGUAUAAGAUAAGUAGGAUACUAGAUUAUACAAACUUGGCUUGAGAAGCUAAAGUACUCUUCCCCAAUAACACUAUUUUUGAAGCAGCAGAAUGAAACACCCAGGUUUUUACAGCCAUAAUAUCUUCUUUUUUUUGGUCCAAAACAAGAACAAGCCAAGAUGAAAAUUCCGUCACUAUGUCAGCACAGACAACACAUAGCCAUGCACAGUACUUCUUUUUUUUUUUUUUUGGUCUCAAACCCAUCUUACUUCCACCUGUUGCCUAUCAGAAAAAUUUGCUUGCAUAAAGUACUAAAUUUUUGUAUUUCAGAUCCAAUGGUAAAUCCAAGAGGUGAUUUAAAGAUAACAAGGGGCUACGAGAGUCCAUUAAAGGUUCAUGAAAAGUAAUACAAAGAAAAUGAAGGAAGCAGUUUAGACAAUGGUUUUACUACUAACUUUUUAUUCGAAUUUUGAUAGUGUUGAUCAAAUUAAGCUAGGAUGAAUCUUAUUACUACUAAGUCAGACAUCCUCAUACGACUUAUUUGCAGUGAAUCUAGAUUCCAGAUUUCCAGCAGGUACCUGAUUUCAUGAGGUGAAGUUUUAGGUGUUCCUUUAGGAAUGGUAGAAAAGCGUUGUAGAAUAAUCUAGCAAGUUUUUGUAUCAGGGUCCUUAUCUAUAGAUUAGCUUUUAAUAGUUUUAAUGUUGUAUGACUCAUGUGCUCUUUCAAUAACUUGCAAAAGGGAUUCAUAUGGCCCUUGAAUGCUUGACCUAAACUUGUCUUGGAACAUAAAUGCAUCCUAGGAUUUCUUCUUAUUGACCAUCUUCUCUUCUAAACUGUACAGCUCCAAUCAAAAUCCUUAUUCUAGCUGUCUUCUAGCCUGCACGUCCUCUCUCUUCCACAUGUUCAGAUUAUUCUGUCCCAACCUCUUACACUUCAAAAUCAAACCAUCCCCUCCAUCCCAAGACAAACAAAGUUCAAAACCAUUAUUAGCAGCUUUAAUUCCAGGCUUCCUCAAGUAGAUCUACUUCAUGAUGUCCGAAGAAAUAGACCAUUCAGGACUAGAAACCUUUUCUGGUGAACAGAUCUAACAGGAACUAUGAAGUGUAUCCCAAUAAACAAGUGAGACAACUGGACAACUUGAGUGUGUCCAUAAUUUCUAUAAAAACAAAUUGGCCCAUCUCAUGAAUCAGGUUUCCCACGUCAAAAUUUUUAAAGUAAACAUAAUAUGAUUUAAGAAAACAGCACUUUCCCCUCUAGCACUUUUAUUGAUUAAAAAGAUGCAAAACUUGGCUUCAGAAUAAUGUUGGCAAUAUAAUGCUAGUAACAAAUAUGUUGGUAACAUAAUGGUACUAGCAAAUUCUCAAAAAAAAAUCAAGUGCACAUAAAACUUGUACAAUGCUGCAAGCAUCAGGAGCAGCUGAAGAAACUUUGAAGGCAAUCAAAAGCAAACACCAUCUGGCAAAGCAUUUCAUGUACAAGAUCAUUGAAAACGUUUCUUGAUAAUUACAGUCUUUAAUUAGGUGACAGACAUGUUCAACUCCAAUCCCAAAUUAACAUGUCAAAUGCAGCCUAGGUCCAAUUUUCCUUUACACUUUUUGACCAAUCUAGACUCCACGGGGUGACAAACAAAUCACUGUCGAGGGGGAAACUGUUAAAAGUUGUACCAGACAUUAUCAAACACAAACACCAAUAAAUGCUGAAUUAGCUUAUUCAUCAAGCAAAAUGGUGAUUACCUCUGGGACUUGUUCAGAGCACUUUGAUUCCACAGAUUUGUAGACCUAUAUGCCAAUAAUGUAUACCAAAUUAACAAAAAAUAAAGCAUUACAGAGUCAAACAAUACUUAAUAGCAAAUGCAAAACAAAAACAAUAAGAUGGAACAUAGCAUCAAAGAUUUGACCUUUGUUGAAGCUUGAGUGGUUAACACUGUGGUGCACCCAUCACCAACUGAAUUAUCACACUUUAUAGAAUCACCCUAUUUAUACAUACAACAAAUUUAAUCACUCAAGCCAAAACAUAGAACUAUUGCAGACUAUUCAAGUAUUAACAAAAAACAGAAAUGCACAAAAACCAUGCACAUCUCUUUAUGCAGGGAAAUGGAGAGUGUGCAUACCGACACAAUUCCACCACCAUAAGUGAUAGUGUAAAUCCAAACCGCGUCAGUUUGAGGAGGACCCACCUGCCAAAACCACCAUAAAAAUGAAAACCCAUAUCAAGAAUCAAACGUUCUUUCUUGUAUGCCAAUAUAAUUACUUCAGAAUGUUGGUUUCCGCCAUAGGCAUGAAUGGAACCUUAUUGGGGAUGAUGAAUUUAAAAGGAUACUUUGAGUAGCAGUGAUUAGCAGUUGACUUUCCACCACCUCUCUCCACUACCACCUUUCCUGUUUCCAUCUCUGUCCCGGAUUCUGUCAAAGGCUCAAAGUCCAAUUCCUGUUGGGAAUUUUAAGGUGGACUUUCUCCAAUUUCUUUCUUGUAAUUUUAAGGUGGGAAAGAAUUGGUUAAUUUAAACUGCACCCCCCUUUAUUUUUCGAAGAACUAUCCUUAGACCCUAAAAGUUACGAAGAAAAUCUGCUGUACACCAUUGAUUUGACAUUUCUUACUAUUGGACACCAUAGCCCCCUGAGUUUAAGGGCUCAUUUUGUUCAAUGGAAUCAUGUUUGGAUUGCUAAUUUAAUGUCCAUGUCAAAUAGUUAUCCAGUGACUACGGGAGAAUCUUUGAACCAUAUAAUAAAGGAUUAAUUUUUUACAUACCUACAAUAUAUAUGCAUUACUUUUGUUGGAUGUAUGAUACUUGAUCAAAAUUUAAAUUUUGUAUAAUAUACUAUACAUCUAACCAUGACUCUGUAUACAUUGUCACUAUAAUGUAAAAGUAACUCUAUAAUAAAAUUCCAAUUAAAACUCACUUACACUGUCAAUAUGUAUAAAAUUAACUCUAUAAUAAAACUUCAAUUACAACUCACUUAUUUUUGUAUUGACAAUGUAAGCCCACUGAUCAAUUCUACCAUGACAUAAGCUUCCACAAGGCCUCAAUUAACUCAAAUCUACUCUACCUAUCUUUACUUGCUUAUCCACCACAAUGUUGGAUCAUUAUAAACCAAUCCAAACUAAACUCAACACAAGGAUGUUUACCUUCUCCAAUAUAUAACUAGGAUAAGUGUUUUAAACGAACUUAUAUCUUUGUACUCUAUUUGUGUGUUUGUAAAAACGCAAAGGUGAGGAGGGCUUCUCCGCCUUUGCAUUAGUUUUGAAAAUAAAUAAAGAAGAUGAGGAGGAUUCAUCUCAUUUUCUUGAAGUUGUGAACUUAAAAGUUUAGCUCCAUUUAGAUUAUUAUUUUUUAGGAUGUUUUAACAAAUUUAACUAUAGCUGUGUUUGGUUACUGUUUAUGUAUUGUGAAAGUUUAACUUUUGAUGUACGAGUUUUUGAUGAAAACAGGCUAGAGAAAUCAAAACUGAAGCACAAGUUCUAGGCCUUUCUUCACAGAAGAAAUCAAGAAGAGGCAAUAAACUACAUAUCGUUGAUGUGGACCGUCAUAACUCUACCAGACAAGCUUUAGGUACUUCAAUUUUCAAUUUACUAGUAAUAUCUUAUUUUUCUCGUAUUAUCGCAAAGUAAUCACCAAAUUCAUAAUCUAUUCGACUUAUUUGUUUUGUUGGAUUUUUAUUUGAAGAAGACCCCGUUUCUGAAGAAGUAAAUAGUCCUAAUCAAGAGGAAUAAGGUAUAUAUUCUAGGUAAUUAUGUUCUGUCUUUUAUCUUUACAUGUGAAUAAAAUAAUACUAGUGCUAUUAGCAUACUCUAUGGGAUGUGUUACAAAAUAGACUAGUUAUUAUUGUAAGUUUUUUUCUUUUUUAAUGUAAUAUAUAUAUAUAUAUAUAUAUAUAUAGCCAUUGGGAUUAGUCUAGUAGUCUAGAAAGAGUUCUUAGAAUCUUCUUUGUUGUCAGGUUUAAGGUUCAAAUUCUUAUACUUGAUAGUUUGGAGGAAAACAUGGCUAAGUUGUAUAGAGAAGAUGUUAAAUGCUGCGCUUUAUCAAAUUUUCUGUUUUAGCUUUUUUACUUGAUUAACAAAUGGAGGAGAAGAAAAAGAAUUCAACCUUACCAAAGAGAAUUCGAUCAUUAAAAUUGACAGUUUUGAUCCAUAAUCUAUAAAAUCACAUAACCAAUCAAGCUAAUUAAUUGAAUUGUGAUUUUAUUCUGAUAUAUUAACAAACUAAUAUUGUUUGUGUUUAUCAACAAGUAGAUUAAAUUGGUUUUGAAUUAUCUAAAUGCCACAUGAGUUUUUUCUUUACAGGGUUUUUUACAAUAAGAAUUUUGGAACAUAUUCUAUACAAUACGCUAUUUAUAUGUUAAAGAGUAAAGGUUUUUGGAAGGUUGUUAUAAAGUUAACCAUAAAUUAUCAACUGCAUAAAAUUAAUGUUUGCCACUUUGUUGAUUUAAGUUGGCAAUUGUAGUAAACAUUCAAUAUCAUGUAUGAAGAAAUCAAGUAGAUACAAUCAACACUAUACGUCGUAUACUCAUAUUUUUCUUGCUUGAGUGAAAACAAAUUUUGUUCAAUGCCUUUAAUAUAAAAGAAAUUCGAUAAAAUAGUGUAAGACUAUAGUACCAUGAGUAAAACAAUUACCUCAGACAAAAUUAAAACCACGUGGUUCAGUAGAUUUACCUCUAUUCUACCACGUCCAUGAAAUCAAGUGUAAAGAAAAACCAUGCAAUAAAUUUGGCAUGUUAUAGUAGAUUAUCAUUUUUUAAAGUACUUUAAGUUUUGCUAAGUAUAUUUCUAUUCCCAAAUUUGUAGUAUAUCUCUUAAUAGUGUCAAUAUAAUGUGCCUAUCAUUGAAAAAUUAUUGAUUUUAAGCUCUAAACUCUCAAUUAUAUUGUAAUGUUAAAGGCACUUAUGUAUAUGUUUCCUUUGAAAAUGAUGCAGAAAGCAAAAGAAUUAUUCAAAGAAAAUAUAUGCAAAAUCGGAGUGCAGCAUCAAUUCAAAGUCUAAACAUAGAAAAGGAAAAGAUAUACUGCCAAUUGGAAAAAAUGGUGUAAGAAAUAAGAAAGGAAGAUUACUUAAAGAGAGAGCACAACGAAGCAAGUAUUGCAUUUGAGUUCUAUUAACUUUGCUCAUGUGUUGAGUAUUAAAGCUAGAUUAUUGACUUGAAGACAUAUAUCUUAUAUUGCAAUUUCGAAUUCUAGAUUUACAAUUAUGUUGAUUAUUUUGUAAAAAUUAUUUCCAAUUAUAUAUUGUCUUCUUAAAUUUCAUUUGAUGGUGGUUGUUUACCAUAUAUCUAUAUUGCAAAUUUAGAUUUAAUGUUUGAAUCCUCUAUAUGAACAUAUUUUGUUUGCUGGUUGGGACAUGCGAUAUCAAGAAAGGAAAAGUUAUGUGUACUAGAUCAACUAUUAUACACUUCCACAUUACUGCCCUACCUUCAUAAAUAGCUAUCAUUAUGAAUUGUCUUUACUAAAAAAAUGUGAAAUAAAAAGGAAUAUUAGUUUAUUGUAAGAGUAAUUUCCAUUGGAUUGGUUUAUUUUAGCAAGAGGUAUACUAUGACACUAUUAUUUGCAACAAAAAUUUAUUUAAACAUAUUAGUAAUUAAGUUACUAGUGACGAUUUCUACGUAAACUUAAGAUUUCUUGUUCUUGGUGUAUUAUGUUAUCUAAACGUUUCAAAUGUAUUAUUUUCAUUAUCUAAUUCAUGCUAAAUCAUCCAUUGCUUUAUGCAUUAAUAUGUAGAGGAAAUGUAGGAUAUUUUUCUAAUUUACUGGUAAAAUGAGGAUACAUAAAGAAGAUAGCAACUACUCUUACACCACUUUCCUACAAUUUUCCUAUUGACAAAAACAUUACCAAAUAUUAUUACAUAAUGUCUUUCUAAUCCAUGCCUAAACAAGCUUAACAUAUUAUUAUACGGUUGUGUAUGUAAAAUAACAUCCAACAAGCUUUAGAAAACUUAAUUGGACAUCUUAAAAUAUUUAGUCGGGGCUUAUAUAUUUUAUAGAUCAAUCUUUUAUAUAUUGUCAGUAUAUACACUAGUGGACCCAAAUGCAUGUUAUAUAUGUAAAAUUUGAAUUUCAGAUUAAAACUCAAAUUAUGAUCUAGACAUGAUUGUAUAUACAUUGACAGUAUAUAAAAAAUUAAUCCACAUUUUAUGAUAAAAUUUUAAUUUAAAGAAAUGAAAGGCCUAAGAAAAAUGAUGGAUGAGAUUGUAUGUAAAAAUGUGACAUAUAGCUCUAAUAUGGGAAAGCUGUCAUUGGAUUAUGGAUAAUAUGGAAAAAAGAUGAAAUAAAGAGAUAGCUUAACCAAUAUCGGAAUAAUAAAAUAGUGAAAAAUUAAAGACCCUUUUAACACAUACAUGUAGUGAAAACAAAAAAGGUUAAAAGAAUCAAAAUAAGGAAAUAGUGAAAAUGAAGUAUAAUGAAUUUAUACAUUUAAGAGUGUUAUAAACCGUCGCCUAUUUUUGCAUUUAUCAAUUUUGUAUCAUUUACGGAUACAAUAUUGAGUCAAUUAAAAAUACCAUCUUACUAUCUCUUAGGUAAAUAAAUCUCUUCCAAUGAGAUGGAUAGUCACGCGCUCGAUGAAGAUUUUCAUUAGGUGUUAAUAAUUUAACUCCAAAAAAAUAAAAAAAUUUAUUCUGAUUUUUUUGAUUUCGUAAUGUUCAAUUGCAUUUGACAGAUAUCUUUUUAAAAUUUUUUUUUCGUUUGUAAUUUUAAUGCUCCAUUAGCUAUUACUAUAAAAGAAACACCCUCGUAUUCAAUUAACCUCCAUAACAAAAAGAGGGCGAGAAGAAUAGAAAACUGACAUAUAAUAUAUAUAUAUAUAUAUAUAUUAGUGCAAGCAAAAGACUCAAAUCCUUCUUUAUUAUUCGACUUAUCCCCCGUAUAGAAAAUUAUCUUUAGUAAUAAGGAUGCUGAGAAUUUAAUGGGACCCCCUACUGUGACGUGGCAUGAAACAAUUGGACAUUCGCAAUAAAAUUCGCCAGCCCAGUGACAACGUCAAAAAUGCCCAAAACCUUCCAGGGUUUUCCAUUCCACCAGCGCGAUUCAAAUUACUCAUAAACACUUGUCUCGCCCAAAUCGUAAAAAGGCAGUAGAGCCUCCAAAAACUUCCCUCAUUCUCACACAGCAAAUCCUCUCUAUUUCUCUGUCGAUUGAAUCAGAAAAAUGCAUGCCCCAGUUUUAGUCCUCAGUAAGCAAUUCUACUUCAUUUUUAGUUUUUAAUUCCUUAUUUUGCAGCCUUAUGAGUUCUUCUUUUUCUGUUUUAGCCCCCUAGAUUUUACGAUUUAUGAGUAACAAGUUUUGAUCUUUGGUAGUAUACGAUGUUGAGGUGAAGUCGGUUUGAGUUGAAGGGUGAAGAAAUGCAUUUGCAUACUUAGUUUUGUUUUAUUUAUUUAUUUAUUUUCCUGAAAUUUUAGAUGUGAUGAAACAAUGUGGCUGUGCCCUAGAGGUUGAGGGAAUGGUUCUGCAAUUGUUCAGUGUUUUUUGCGUAGUACAUUGACUUUGAUAGACUGUACUUUUCACUAGCUUGAUUGGAGCUGUGCGGCGUAGUUUGGAGGAUGGUUGUAUUUGUUGAUUUUUGGGUUGGGUAAUCUUUUUAAAUUAUUUAUUUUUUGUUUUUAAUCUUGGUUCUUAAUAAAUUGUUUGUUUGUGAUUGAGCAGAGGAUACUUUGAAACGUGAGUCCGGAAAUAAGGUGCACUAUGCUAACAUCCAAGCAUCUAAGGUAUGAAGUGAUUGCAUUUGGAUUUUUUUUAGACAGACAAAUAAUUCUUUAUUAUUUUUUGUGAAAGGAAUUUGUUUUAGUAGAGUCAUACAUUGAUUGGCGUUGAUUGAAAUAGUUGUUGCCUUUAUUAUUCGAAUGCCUUUGUAUAGGUGGUGAGGUAACUAAAUUUGUUGGGGGAACUGAAAAGAAACUUUGUUGAUAUUAAGAGUCAAUUGAAAACUUAGAUUUGGUCAGCAUAGUGGCAUCAAGAAGAGAUUUUUUGGAUUAUGGCGAAUUGGUGAAUUUGGAUAUUGUUCGGAAUGGGUAUUUGAAAAUGCUAUUUGUGUAUACUCUGCCUUUGUCAUUCGAAGUUUUGAAAGUUAAGGUGGUUAGACACAGCCCUGAAUGUGGUUGACUAAGGCUGUGUUUGGAUAUUUUUGGAAGUGAUGAUUUGAGGUCUUAAAGAUAUACUAUUGAAAUAUCAAAAAGAUUUGAAAAAACUAUUCACUUGUAGUUGUAUGUUCACUGGAUGUCAUAGUUACGGUAUGGAACUUUUUCUGUUGGUUGACAUGUAAGUAGUUUGACAUACAGUUAAGCUAUUGGUCCCAUUCAACCAUUUCUACAUUUCUUUCUGUGGAUACAAAAUUCUAUGUACUGAAGGUUGGCAUACUUGUCUUAAUUGCAUUGUUCAUCUAUACUCCCAGGCUGUUGCAGACAUUAUUCGCACCACUUUGGGUCCUCGAUCUAUGUUGAAGAUGCUUCUUGACGCAGCUGGAGGUAAUAGUUCUGCUUGUGCAUUAUUAACAGCUAAUUGAUAUAUGUGAAAACAUUUGCCUUUUCAUCUUUGACAUCAUUUCUGCCACUCAAAUCUCUAGAUUUGAGGGUGGGAUGGAGAGAUAAUUUUUAUUUGUAGAUAUUGAUUGGGGUCAUCCUCUAAUAAGUCACAGAUUAACCUGACUGCCUUUCUUUGUCUCAAUCUAGAGAAAUUUUAUCCCUUCCCUUUCUUUUUUAAUGGGCACAUGGGUGGGAAGCAAUUUGAAAAUAUGCUUUUGUAAUGAAAUGAAAGCUUUUGUCUCUUCUCAUCUUUUGAGUGGAAUGCAGGACUUUUUCACACUUUUGCAAUCUAAGUUUUCCCAAUUUAAACUCUCUCAAACACUCUUUGACCAUCUGUGUUUGGUGAAAUCCUUGUUUACUUUUUUUUUUAAUGGAUUCAUACAGGUAUUGUAGUGACCAAUGAUGGAAAUGCUAUUCUUCGUGAGUUAGAUCUUGCACACCCAGCAGCAAAGGUACAUAAACUCUCUCCGUUUUUGCCUGUGAUUGUGGUUCUUGUGGUGAUUAGGUAUCUUUUUGUAAUUUUGUUAUUUGUUGGGGUGCUGCAGUCCAUGAUUGAACUAAGUCGCACUCAAGAUGAGGAGGUUGGAGAUGGAACUACGUCUGUUAUUGUACUUGGUAAGUUUUUUAUCUUAUUCAUGGUCCUAGUUAGAGCUUCUUAAAAGCAAGAGGAGUUUCUAAAAAAAAAGUAGGAGGAUUUAUGUUCUUUUUUCCUGUCUCUUUGCUAUAUGGUGGCUUCUUUUGCCCAAGUUGUGCUAUUGGUUGCUAAAAAGCAAUUAGUAAUUGCUAAGGCGUCCUAUGUUCUGCAUUUGGACAAUUUGAGUAGAUUUUGAAGUAGAAACAAGGUUUAACUAGUUUUGCUUGAUAUCGGGUGCAAUCUUUUUUCUCUAUCACCAUAUGUGUGUAUGACUGAUAUCUUAUGUGAUGGUGUUAUUCUAUCUUAUUUAUAUUGCUAGAACUUGUCAGGAAGGCAACUUGUAUGGUUUAGUUAAUAUGUUAGAUGACUUGACUAAUUCCUCUUAUUUACCAUCUUGAAAAUUUUUUUAAGCUGGUGAGAUGCUUCAUGUUGCUGAAGCCUUCAUUGACAACAACUAUCAUCCAACAGUAAUUUGCCGAGGUAGCAUUUUUUUACAUUUUGUGCUUGUCAUUUCAUUAUUGUGACAAAACUCUGUUUCUGAUGAAUGCUUGGUACUUGUUACUGUAGCUUACAACAAAGCUCUAGAAGAUGCCAUAGCCGCGCUGGAAAAGAUAGCUAUGACUGUUGACGUUAAGGAUCGUAAGUUUCUUUUUUACUUUCUUCAGAAGUAUCCAAAAAUUUUAUAGCAGUUUACUUUUUCACUUUUAGGCAGUAUAGUUUGCAGUGUGAUGAUGGUCAUUUAGCCUUGUAGUCUUAUACGGCUAGUUGCCUUAUAAAAAUGGUGCUUGCUGCUAUUCUAUUCAUUUAGCAUGUUAGUCUCUGAACCAUAGUGUGGAUACUAAUAUUUUUCAUCUGGCUGUUUUGUUAAUUAUGUUUCGCUGAUAGAUCAGUUAGCAUAUGUUGUGCAUGGUAGUGUUUUUCCUAGACCUUGCCUCCUGUUCUCUCCUUAUUUUGUUGAAUGAAUAUUGUUGUUGUUCCAUCUCUUCUCCCUCCUUUGUUGUUGUUGGUUUAUUUAUUUUUAAAAUUCCCUCCUAUCCCUGGUACACGUUGGAAAUAACAAAUGUUAGUUUAAUUUUGUACUUGAAGAUAGAAAAAAAUGCUCAAAAAUGUGCCUUUUGUAAUUGGUUUUAAUUUUCUUCCCAUUUGCGUAUAUUAACUGUUCAGAAUUUUUUUGGCUUCUCACAAAUAAAUACAUUGUAUUGUUUUGGCAGGUGCAACAAUGUUAGGCCUUGUAAAGAGCUGUAUUGGCACAAAAUUUACUAGUCAAUUUGGGAAUCUUAUUGCCGUAAGCAACAUAUAUCCUGCUCUCUGUCUGUCUGUCUGUCUCUCUCUCUAAUUGUUUCUUAAAUUGGGAAUGGAGAAAUUUAUCCUUUGAAUGACAAAUGUUACAUUUUCUUACUGAUAAGUUUGUAUUUGUAAAUGUUUGUUUUAUGAUUACUAGCAGUUAUUUCUGUACUUCAGUAACACCUGUGUUCAGAAAAAUGAAUCUCCUUCUAUGGAAUGGGUUUUACUCCCUGUAGCAUGAUAAUCCUAUCAAGUUUAGGCUUUUAAUUGAUUCCUCAUGUAACUGAUUGUGCUUCUUUACCUCCUAUGUUGGUUAAUAUCGGGUAAAACUGGGAUACUCUUUACCUCCAAUCAGCUACUAAGACCUUAUCCUUGGACUGUCAUAACUUAUUUGACCAUGCUUUUGAAGAAGUAUAUUUUAUGUGCAUAAUAUAACUGUUAAUAUCUAUUCUUAAAUUGGAAUUCCUGAAGGCUCAAUGUUGAUUAAUCAAUUUUCUGAAUGACUGUUAGACUUCUGUAUAAGCUUUUAUUGCCAUGCAUUGAAUAUUUAUCUUGGAAUCAUUUGAUAUCUCUGAUUGUCUUCUAGGAUUUAGCAAUUGAUGCUACAACAACCGUGGGAGUGGAAGUUGGACAAGGCAUCCGUGAAGUGGAUAUUAAGAAAUAUGUCAAGGUUGAGAAGGUUCCGGGUGGGCAACUGGAAGAUUCACAGGUCCUUAAGGGAGUUAUGUUUAACAAGGAUGUGGUUGCCCCUGGCAAAAUGAGAAGAAAGAUUGUAAAUCCUCGUAUCAUCCUUCUAGAUUGUCCCCUGGAGUACAAGAAAGGCGAGAAUCAAACAAAUGCAGAAUUGCUGAGGGAAGAAGAUUGGAGCGUGUUAUUAAAAAUGGAAGAGGAGUACAUUGAGAACCUUUGCGUGCAGAUACUGAAGUUUAAGCCUGAUUUAGUGAUAACAGAAAAGGGGCUGAGUGAUCUAGCAUGCCAUUAUCUGAGCAAGGCUGGCGUUUCUGCAAUUAGGAGGCUGAGAAAGACGGACAAUAACAGGAUUGCCAAGGCAUGUGGGGCAGUUAUUGUGAACCGACCCGAUGAGUUACAGGAAUCUGAUGUUGGGACUGGAGCUGGGCUAUUUGAGGUGAGGAAAAUUGGGGAUGAGUUCUUUGCAUUCAUUGUUGAUUGCACGGAUCCAAAAGCAUGUACUGUUCUCUUAAGGGGUGCCAGCAAAGACCUAUUGAAUGAAGUAGAAAGAAAUUUACAGGUUGGUUUAGAUUGAUUUAGUUAUUGUAUAACGGCUAUGGAACAAUGUUUUCGACUCUAUUUAAAUUGUCCUACAGGAUGCGAUGUCUGUUGCAAGAAACAUUGUCAAGAAUCCAAAACUUGUUCCUGGUGGUGGUGCAACUGAGUUGACUGUAUCAGCGAUUUUAAAGCAGAAGAGCUCAUCUGUUGAAGGCAUUGAAAAGGUGGAUUGCUCUUCUUUAUGCAUUCCUAUUAUUUUGUGGGCUAGUAUUUUUCUCAGAUUCAACUGCUAAUUUCAAGAAUCAGUUUAUUCUACUGAGAAUUGUUUUAAUAUUUCAAUUCUGUCUUGUGCUGCAGUGGCCUUAUGAAGCUGCUGCAAUUGCCUUUGAGGCAAUACCACGAACUUUGGCUCAGAAUUGUGGUGUCAAUGUUAUUCGAACAAUGACUUCCUUGCGUGGGACGGUAAGAGCCUCGAGUCUGAAAUUAUUUUCUUGAAUGAUGUUUGCGUCUUUAUUUCCUUGUAGUCAAUAUGUACUGGACUUUGAUAUCAGUUAUAUGUUAUUGUAGCAUGCAAAUGGUGAAAAUGCUUGGGUUGGCAUAGAUGGUAAUACUGGUGCAAUUGCUGAUAUGAAGGAGAGGAAGGUAUGAUCUUCUUCCCCUUACAUCUGGAUUAAGUCUUGUCUUCUAACGUAACUAGAAAUAAUUUAUCCAAAAUCUAGUUUUGUUUCAGUGACUAUUUACUUCUUCUUAGGACUAGCUAUGGUACUCUAACUACAUAAAUUUCCUGAUCUUUUAUUAAGUUUAGUUUUCAGUUUUGCAAAUUUGAGCUUCUUAAAAGUCAGGUAUUAUGGUCUGAGGAUCACAGGAGCAGCUUACUUCUUUUAAAAUUUCAGAUAUGGGAUUCCUACACUGUGAAGGUGCAAGCAUUUAAAACAGCCAUCGAAGCUGCCUGCAUGCUUCUAAGAAUUGACGACAUUGUAAGUGGAAUAAAAAAGAAGCAGGCACCUGGAGCGGGGGCAUCAUCAAAGCCCAAAGUUGAAGAAGAAGGUGAAGCAGAGAAUGAAGCACUAAUUCCUGAAUGAGAAACGGCAAAAACUUUCGGCACUUAAGCACCAUCUUUGAUGUGUCUAUCUUACAGUUUGGAGUUGUUUUUGGUUUGUAUGCUGUAAAAAGAGUUUAACUGAGCUGAUUUUUUAGUCUAAUUAUUCGAACUAAACUUUCUCUGCUGCUUUGGCCGCAUGUAGUAUCAUGGUCAAGUGCAAGCUAGUAUCCAGUGAUCUUGCCUCUUGAUAGCUCGAUGAACUUUGAGCAUUUUUGAGCAGUUUAGUAUACUUCUCUCAAGUCUUGCAAAUGACAGUUUGCGAUCGUGUAGUACAAGCUUUUGUUUCUUUGUAUCUCAGUAAGAAUUGAUUUCUUCCCUUUUCCUGCUGCCUUAUUCGUGAUAGUCCCUACUGCCUAGCAAAUCUAGAUGGCUGAGCUUGUUCUAUUUCAGGGCAGUUGACCCCAUUGGAAGCGGGUGCUGGUAGGGAUUGAAUAUUAGGCAUGGAAUCUCUCAGAGAGUUUUAUUUUGCAUAUAGAAUGUAGCCAGUUUCCUUAACUAGUAUCGUCAGAAUUGAAGCCAGUUUCCUUGACUAAGCGCGUCAUAUCAAAAUUUCGAAGAAACUAGGGCAACUUUUGAAAUAAAUUGUUGGUGGAAAUUUACAAUGGAGUAUACAAAAUUCAAAAUGAAAUUUAGGUGACAUUUCGUAUUUUCAGUUUCGUAGGAUUGAAUAACUGUCUUUUUGAGGUAUUGUUAAACUUGGAUGAUCUAGAAGAAAAAAUUCACGGUGUGAAGCCAUUAAGGGCGUGUUUGCAGUUGUUGUAGCUUAUUAAAAGAUAUUAUUCCUAGUAGACCUUCUAAUAAAAUCACUUAUUAAGUGUUUAAAUUCUUUUAAAUAUAUUAUUUGGAUACAUGGUUUAAAAAGUAUUUAUUGCAUUGGAUAAUGUGUAAUUUUAAAUUUCUUUAAAUAUAUUUAUCUCUUUAUUUAGUUCAUAACGUAGAACAAAAUGAUUAAAUUUAAUAUUUUAUUUUUUAAAACACAAAAGCAAUUAUAAAAAUAUCAAAUUUUAGUUUUUUGCCAAAAGUAUUUUUAACAUCAAAAGUUUAUGAAAUGAUAUUUAUCAAACAUCUUAAAAAGUGCUUUUUUAUCAAAAGCACCACAAACUCCGAACGGAACUUGAUACUGUUAAGUAACAAAAUUACACACAAACGAAAACUUAUUUGAAGAUUUUCCAAUUUCUCUUACAUCAACAGUUCUGUUGUUUAAACGUAAGGAGGCCCUAUAAUAAUACGUAAAGUCUUACUUUCAAACAAUGAAGACCUUAAAAGAAGUCUUGCUUUUAUUUUUUGUUAUAUUGUAUUCAUAAUAAUCGAAAGGGAUUGUCAAGUCUCAAACUUAUAGCUGUUAAGUUGACAGUAAUAACAAAUCUCAGCCCAAAAUGCAAAAUUUUUGAAGCUUACGAUUUUUUGGAUUUUAAACGAAAUCUCAAACUUUUUUUUCAUUAUUGUUAUUAUUUCUCUGGCCUGACUCCUGAGGCCUAGUUAUAUAGUUGUCUGUGUUCAUGAAAACUUUUGAAAAACAUUGUGGCCAGAUGACUAAAAAGGAGAAGAUUCAGGACUGAACUUGCAAAUUCAAACACUCACUCACUUUUGACCCGAAGCCUUCACUGAUCACCAAGUAUACCCGGCUCUAAACCUCUAAGCAAACAGAACUCAGUCCCAAUUCUGCUAGCGCGGUAUCAGUAUCAAACGCCACCAUUUCUACUCUCCACCACCCAAACAACCAUCUCUCUCCGCCACGCCGCCGCUGCCCCUUCUCCUCUGCACCACCGACCACUACCGAGGUGGCUUUUCCCACCUAGUGGUAAGCAGUUUAUAUCUUUCACAGUUUAGUGUAGACAAGGUUUUUCGCAUUUUAUUUGCAAUGCUUGUAUAUUCUUCUCGGUGGAAUUCGUGGAUAUGCAUUUAUAUACAUGUGUUUAGAUAUUCAUAUUAUUCUAAAUAAUAUUUCGCUUGCAUCAUAAAUACAUUUUCCUAUUCAUCUUUUUAUAUUUUUAAUUACUUUUUAUCUCAUGUACAUCACAUUACAAAAAAUAUUACAGUAAUUAUUUCAAAUAAUAUUUCAAAUAAUACUCUAUCCAAACACAUUUAUUUUUUAAAUUUCAGGCCUUCAGAUACGAAUUUGUCAUAAUCCUUUUCUAAAACUGUAAUGCUUGCGUGCUUUUCCAAGCUCAUAUUUUUUGUGAUCUAUGUGUUUGAUUAAAUGCCUAUUUGAUUGAUUGAUAAAGAUUUAAAGUUGAAUGCACAGGCUGUUGAUUUAUGGGUCUUGGAGAAUCAAAUGGGUAGUUUCUAAGUCAAUCCUGUAAAAGCGGAUACUACUGAAUUACAAAAUGAGUUUGUUCUCGCGGUUAAGGCAUCAGUUGCCUUAUGAACUUUUUAGGAAGCCCUUUUUCUGUCCUGUGCAUAAAUUAGUUAACUCGGUUGGGAUGGCUCGCGGGUUUGCUCAGCCUGCAUUGAAAGAAGACGAAGAAGGUGUGGAGGAAAUAGAAGUCGACCAAAGAAGGCUUCCGGCUGAUUAUGAUCCUGCUACAUUUGAUCCUACGGAACAUCGUAGUCCUCCAACAGAGAGGGUAUGGAGACUAGUUGAUGAAAUAUCGUCGCUUACCUUGGUUGAAGUUGCAGAGCUUGGUUCAAUAAUGAUGAAAAAGAUGGGUAUGAAGGAGCCUCCAGUUGUGGGGGUCAUGAAACCUGGAGACGUUGGUAUGGGUGCAGUGUCAAUGAAGGGACCAGCAACAGUUGCCAAGGAAGAGAAGAAAGUAGAGAAGACUGUUUUUGAACUAAAGCUGGAGUCCUAUGAUGCAGCUUCAAAGAUCAAGGUCAUUAAGGAGGUUCGGAGUUUCACUGACUUGGGACUUAAAGAAGCAAAGGAUUUAGUGGAGAAGACGCCUGCAGUGUUUAAAAAAGGAGUGUCAAAGGAAGAAGGAGAGCAGAUAAUCGAGAAGAUGAAAGCUGUUGGGGCAAAAGUUGUUAUGGAGUGAAGUGAGAAUGAAACUGGCAUUUUUGUUCAUCUUUGAAAGUUUAUGAAUCUGAUGAUGUCUGUCAAAGGCAAAGUUAUAGUUGGAUUUUGAACUCUUUUUUUUUUUUUUUUUUUUUUUUUUUUUUUUUGUAGUUUGUCAUUUAAGAUAAAAAAAAAAGAGCAAAACUUCAUAGUUAGCUUCGGUUUCUUGAACAUGUGAUUUACCUAAUUGGUGUUAGCUUUUCAUCUUUGUGUCAGACGUGUCUCAUCCUUUAUUUUGGGUAUUGGGAUCAAUCUUUGAAAAAUGGCAGUUUCACAGAUACUUCUUCACUGCUACAUCACUCUUUUCCAUCCUUUCUUUUUGGUCAGUACAACAUGACAAUAUUGAAGGCAACAUGUGCUCGGAGGAAUACACUUCUGCAGACCUCUAUGUCUUGCUCUAUGGUCUGCAUGAUUUGAUGCAAUAUUUUUAUCAAUUGCUACUUUAGCUUAAAUUCAAGAUAGCAGCACUAUGUGGGAAGCAUCAAGUCACUUGAUGGAUUCAACUAACAUAAAAACUAGAUACUUUGUCCGCCAUGUGGGAUUUAGCUGUCUUGCUGUAAGCAUGCUUUGGACUUCUUUUGCUCCUCUUCUUUCUUCUCCAUUUAUAUGCUUUCUAUGGUCUCCUAUUUCAGGGUGCUUGAUGUUAUAGCUUUUAUGGUUCUAAUUGUCAUUGUUUGUGCUAAUGGAUGCUGUACUUCAUUAUCUUUCGUUAUAAUUUUUUGGCUGUAUCUGAAUCUGGAAAUGAUGGAAUUGUUUGAUAUCAGUCUGGUUUAGAAAAGAUAGUGUAAUGUCAAAGCUAGGAAUGAACAAAUACAAUGUAGUGAUAAAUUAUGAUGGUUGUUCUUGUUUCCUUUGGGUGCGUGGAAUAGGAGAUCAUUUCUGUAAGUUGAGGCAAUAAAUUUGCUUAGCCUCUUUCUGUAAGUUGAAUUUAGGCAACUAAGCAAUCACAAGUACUGCUUGAACAAAGCAUUUACAUACUGUCAACAACUUGUGUUGAUCAGUUUGGUUUGGUUAGGGUGGUAACCAUCCCUUCUGGCCAUUAAUUUGUGCUUCAACAAAUUAAUGCAAGAAGCAACCCAGGUCUCACAUUUAACUUUUUAACAUAACCAGUGUAUAAGAAAUCUUAGGAUAAGUUGUAGUUGAUAUACAUUUUUUACAAAUUGAUGUUGUUACUGUAUAUGAAACACAAUAUUUUGUAUUCCUGAAAAUUUUUGUUUACUGCAAGUUACUUGUGAACAGCCAAAAAAGAAGAAGAAGAGAUCUCUAUUAAAGCCCCUACUUUCCAUUGAUAGUUGCUACAAUGGGGCUUCUGACUGAGAACUUUGUUGAAGUCCAUGAUAGAGAUCCUUGAGACACUCUACUUUUAGCCGGUGAUGCUACUAGGGUAAAUGUGACUUCAUAUGUCAACUUCUGGUUUGCCUGUGAGAAACCGAGAGUAGUAGGUUCGACUGUCAGAUUGACACCUGCUGGUGGUAUAAUUUUAACAGUGUAAGUUGAAUUAGCUUCAUCAACGUUAGUUACCGUCCUUGUGUACCUUUGAACGGGUGAUCCAAAAAUGAUUGAAAAUGAAGGGUAGUUUAGUUGCGCUUCUGGCAUUCGCAACUCUACUGCACAGUUUACCUUACGUUUUAAGAGUAUACCAAUCUCCCGGUUGGUGUAGUUCAAUCCACACAAGUAAGGUAUGUAAUCUUUCGGGUCAAUGUCAUAAAUAAGACCCGGAUUGGUUGCUUUAGAUGGGUUAACAUGGCCCCAACCAGUGGCAAAAAUAUUUGCGGGAUGGUGCCUCUGAUCCUCAAUGGGGUUUUUUGCACAGUUCACUAGAUCUGCAGUGGUCAAGAUUGCAGACUUAAUAGCAGCUGGAGACCAAUUAGGAUGAACACUUUUGAGCAGUGCAGCAACGCCGCUGAGGUGAGGGCAAGACAUUGAAGUGCCAGAGAGUACAUUGAAUUUUGUGUUAGUGUUGUUUUCUAUGGAGUGACGCCAGGCAGCAAGAAUGUUUACACCAGGGCCAAUUAUGUCUGGCUUCAGAAUACCAGGGCUCGCUCGGCUGGGGCCUCGAGAAGAGAAUGAAGCAACCAUUGGAGCGUGAUUGUCUCCAAAGACAGUCCCCUUGAACGAGAUUGCUGCCAUUGGUGAUUCUGUGGAGUUUAUAUAGGCAAUAACCUUCAAUCCAUCAGCGUAACUUAAAUCGGUUGCUGGAAGAACAUGAGCAUCAGCAAAUGUGGUAUAACCAUCAUUCUUAUGGUUAAUGAGGAUCAUGCCAACACCACCACCAGCCUUGAUGUUUUCUCCCUUUUCUAUUCCUGAUAUCGUACCACCAUCAAUGCAGACCACAAUCUUUCCUCGGACUUCGGUGUUAUUUAGGGAUUUUGAGGCACAAUAUUUAGACUUAAUAUCGUCCUGGUUCUUGCCUGGGUAGAAUAGGGGAAAUAAAGUUGGUGGAAAAUCCUUUAGCUGAUUUAUUGUCUCGCCUUGAAAUUCCUCCUUGUUACCAAGCACGGCAGUUGCCCUUAUGUUUCUGUCAAUGGUGCUUGCACCAACAGUUAGAACCCAUGGGGCUUCAUUGGAUAAAGAGCUCUUAGAAGGACCGUCAUUUCCUGCUGAGCAGCUGACAAAAAUUCCUCUCUCCGUUGCGCUAUAUGCACCUAGCAAUAAGCUAUUUGCAUAAAAUUGAUAAUCUCCUCCUACAAGGGAGGCAGAAAUAAUGUCAACCCCAUCCUCAAUAGCUGCAUCCAUUGCAGCUAGAAUAUCGCUCUCAAAACAACCAAUUGCUGUACAUACUUUAUACAUUGCCAAGUGAGCAAGAGGGGCAAUACCAACUGCAGUUCCAUUAGCAUUUCCAAAUACAUUUGCACCUUGGACGUAGUUUCCAGCAGCUAUGCUUGCUGUGUGAGUACCAUGGCCAGUCUCAUCCAAUGGAGAACCAUUUCCAUCGUGGAAAUAUCUUGCUCCUAUCAGUUUGUUGUUGCAAACUGACGAAUUGAAUUCGCAUCUCCCCUUCCAUUUAGCAGGUGGUGCAGGCAUUCCUUCAUCACUAAAUGAUGGAUGGUCUGGCACUAUCCCAGUGUCCAAGAUUCCAAUGAUAACACCUUUACCACAAUUUGAUUCCUUCCAUAAACCCAAGUUUUGAUGCAACCCCAAGAAGCUAGGAGUAUGGGUUGUACAUAAUGAUAGUAGCUUUUGCUGCCGUGCUGAUACGAAACCAGGUUUCUUUUCUAUUUCUUUCACGUCCUCAGCUGACAAUUUCGCAGCAAAGCCUUUGAAAACAUUGUGAUAGGAGUAAACUAUAUGUGGAAGUGUUGCAUUUGAGAUUGCAGCAGUAGUAGCAGUUGUUGGCAGAAAAGAGUUGUACAAACUUUCAAGAUCUUCACCUGUUAUGGCAUUCGUGCCAUAUUCAGCAUCAUCUGGAUCAGGUAACUCAACGUGGACGAUAUAAGUCUCUAAAUUGCUCUGCUCUUGGAAUUCAUUUGCAGCAAUUUCCGAAUGAGAGUUGGUUAGCACACAAAUCAGGAUGAGAAAAUGCAUUAAACUUUCCAUGCAGAAAGGAAAAAUGUUUAGUAUCUAGAGAAAGUUUUGCUUCAAUUAGUUGCUGUUCAGAGGAAGAGGUAUUUUUAUUUGGACCAGGAAAUGAUGAUUUGGUUUUGAACCUUGUGGUGUUUGAAUUUCAGAAAAUGUUGUUGCAUAUAUAAACAAAACCACCCUGAUAUUUUGCUUGUACAAGAUUUUCUUUGGUCUAGUUCCUGUAGUUUGGGAAUGUAAAAGACAAAUUCGUUACAUAUGUUACGAUAUUUUUUCUAUUCUUUUUGUUUCAUUUUUUUUUAAGGUAUAACCCACAGGUAUCGGCAUCCGUUUUACGGUCUGCGACUUAUCUUGUUUGAGUCGGGUUGGGCCCCUUGCAAGGGAAGCUCUCCCAACGUUCGUGUGUUUGGACAGGAGAUUAUUUGUCCAAAUAUAUUUGCUUACAUCACCAUUACAAUUUUCAAUACAUCUUUUUAUCUUUUCAAUUACUUUUUUAUCUCACAUACAUCACAUCACAAAAAAUGCUACAGUAAAAAUAUUUCAAAUAAUUUACAAUCCAUUUCCAUAGAUUUCGAACUCAAGAUCUCAUGGUUAAGGGAUGCUCACUUGCAUCAACGUCUGUUGGUACUCUUUUUGUUUCAUGAGAAUCCAUGACCAACUCUUUUUUUUUUUUUUUGUAUGGUCAACAAUGUAUUUCUUAGUGGGCUGAUAAGUGUCGCAACUGUCUAUUCCAUCACUUUUAAGGGAAGUGACAUUGCAAUUUGUCCUCUCAAUACCACUUAGGCACUUUUUAGUUAUAAUAUAAUUAUGUAGUACAACUUUCAAUAAGCAUCAAUUUCAAUAAUUCAUGUAUCCACAAUUCUUUUUAACAGAUUUAAGCCCUGAUAUUUUAAGCCAAAAUAAUUUUGGCACUGUAUUGGAUGCUUGGAUGAUUUUAAGCAGUUCAAGAACUAUUUCCAUAAAAGACAAGUUCUAAUAAGAAUAAAGGCAUACUAUAGAAAAGAAAAAGUUUUCUAAAAGCAGAGUUGGCAUCAUUCCCGGAAUAAGCAUAAUGUAAUUGCCCCUAUAAAUGUUCUAUGCGAAGUUGUUGACAUAGUCUACUAUAGGACUUGAGUCAUGUUAUCUAAGAAUCAGUUCGUGUUGAAACUUGAAACUAAUAAAAGUUGAUUCUAGUUUUUGUCUGAUUGGAAAAUUCUGUAGAGAAGUUGUCAUUUGCAUCUGAUACGCUUUUAAAUUCCUUCUAACUUUGAAAAAUUAGUUUCAAUGACUCCUGGAGGAACUUUUUCAAAAGCAAGUUGUGCCUUUCCAAGACUUUUAAAUCCAAAGCAUCGAAAUUAACUUUUGAAAAGAUCUUUGGUACAUCAAUUUCUUUUUUUUUUUAAGCUCCCACACCCCUCAACACCAUUUUCAUUUUCAACCAUCAGACUCCAGGAUUCGAAGUCUUGAAAUUAUUCGCAGGGAGGACUCUAAGAACCCUUUCCUAUUGCUAAGCAACUUAAAAAAGAAAAAAUUCUUAUAUUAAUCCGACAUUCCCAUGAUAAAUCUGUCUUUUUCUCUAUGUGAAGCUUGUGAGUUAGGCUUUUGGAAUGUCUAAAAAGUUUACAAUUUCCUUGUCAUUGAAUGCAUACCUUGAACAUGGAAUUUCUACUGAUGAAUAAAUGCUACCUUUUUUUUUGUCCCCCUAAAGUCUGCAUCAUAAAAAAGAUGUAUGAAACCGACCACUCGGGGCCUGCUUACCACUUUGUGAUCGAAAUAAAAAAAGAAAAUUGGACUUUAUUGAAACGUCUAUCAAACUGGAUCUUUCAAACGUGUUUCUCGCUUUUGUGUUUAAGAUUCUUCCCCUUGUUUUCUGUUUUUCCUUUAUACACUUUCUUUUUAUCAGUUCUUAGUAACUAUUGCAGGUGUGACUUCUCAGACAUGCAUGAGUGUGUUCUGAUAGCGUUUUAUUUGUUAAAAUUUUUUUUUGAUUGCAUCACAAAUACGUUUUCAUAUCAUUUUUUUUAUAUUCUCAACCAUUUUUUUCAUCUCACAUACUUCAUAUCGCGAAAAGUGCUAUAAUGUUUUCUCAAAAUAUUACUCCAAAUAAUCUCCUAUCCAAACGUUUAAGAUUCAUUGUGUUUUCGCAAUUAGAUUUCUUUUUCUUGUUGGCAUAGACAAAUUCUAUUAGCAUUUAUCAUAUACAUGCUCAAAUAAAUUGAUUUUUAUCUACUACACAGUUAGUUUUUAAAUUUAGAGGUAGUUAUUUUCUUUCCAAAAACUUUUGGGUAGUGAAGGAGUUUAAGCUCAAGAACUUAAAUUUCCAAUUUUCUUUGUUUUUAUUUUUUUUAACCUGGGGUAAAAUAAAAAUGUGGAACUUGGGACCAACUCAAUGGCGAUGAUUGUAGGAUAUGAAGACCUCCAAAAAUAAGGUUGCUUGCUUGGAGAGAUGCAGAAUACUGAGCAAGUGAGCAUACUGUCAAAUCCCUAAUCUAAAUGAAACCUGGAACAAUAUCAUGACGUGAUGGAUACCAAAACCAUCCAAGAAAUCAAUCUUACUGGUUUAAGAUAUUGGAUUUGGUAAAUGCUCGUUGACACCAGUGCUGCGCUGCAUGAGAAGAACUCUGUUAAGUCUAAUUUUCUUGCUCCUCUCUCGUUUUGUUAUUAUUCACUUAAUCCAAAGGACCAAAGAAAAGAGGAUGGAGGAAACUAACUUUUUUUUCUUCCUCCUCAGUCAAGAAACGACUUAGCUUAUGGUGUUGCCUAUAUGAUCAUUCCUCGUGAGUUACAGAUUCUGAUAUCAGCUGUUUGAUGUACUCAUUUGCAAGCUCUUGUACCUAAAUAUCAAAUUCUUCAGUAAGCAAAAGAAGUCUAGAUUUACUAUCUAUCCAAUGGUAGCUUUUGCUAAUAUUGAUUCAUUAGCAUCUUGAAAAAUCUAAGGCCAACAAAAUCAGUCCCUGGAAAUCUUGGACAAUCCGAUGCGACAAUGGACCUCUAGUGUGUUGGAAGAGUGAGCUCCUUGUACAACGUGACAAGGGAUAAUCUCGGUCGGUGUUGUGAUUUAUAAAUAGGAAGAUUUGGUUCAAUCAAGAUAAAAAGUGACCAUAUAGGACCCAUAUACAUAGCUGAUGAUCAAGCACUGACUACUUAGUCUAAAAAUAUACUGCUACGCUUGUUUGCUAGCUGGUUAAUAAUUGAGUUUGAAUGAUUUUAACCUGGACUAUUUAAGGCUUCAAUUAGAAUAGUCAAGUAGUACACGUUAGACAGUUCUGUCCGAUUCUAGAUUAUAUCAAUCAAGUGUAAAUUAGAUCCAGGAAAUUGAACUCCAACAGUGAUAUGGCAUAAGUUGUUCGAGUUCUUUUAGAAUUAACUUCAUCGACCUCAAAAUAUGUAUAAUUUUAUUACAAUUUAAUUUUAUUUGCUAAUUAAUUUGAUUAUGCCUUUGCAUGGUGUAGUCCCUUUUCUUUUUUUUGGUUGGAUAGAGUUCCUGAAAAACCACGUCAAUAUUGUUAGCUUCUAGUUUCCUGUCUAGUCUAAUUGGCUUGCGAGUUUCCUAAAGUUUUUGGUCGGUUGAGUUCAGAUCCUAACUGGUUUUGAGCUCCAUUUUCCUUUAAUUUUGCUGCGUCUUUAUUUCUUUUGAGUCAUUUAUCGACAUAUUAUUAGUGCUGCAGUGAUGAAAGAUGAGAUUCAAGAGUUAAAUAAAACAAAGAAAGUCAUCAUACUAUUCAAUUCUGUAGUAAUCUUUUGUUGAUCUAAAACAUGGAGAAAAGGAAGAUGGAUUUAUAACCUGAAGACUUGUUGAUAGAAGUUCUACUGCGCCUACCUGUGAAAUCCCUGAUGUUAUUGAAAAGUGCCUGUAAAUCUUGGCGUGCUUUGAACCAAAGUCCCAACUUCAUACCCAUUCAUCUUAAUCAUUCCAAGAAUGACGACCGUCUCCUCAUCCAGUGCUUGCCUCUCAGGAGUCACGAAAAUUCCCCUAAUUAUUUGUCAUUCAAACCUAGAAUCAGCCCUUGAUGUCCCCUCCUCUGAUCUAAAUCACUUCCCAUUUUGUAACAGUGGCUAUUAUGUUGACAUCAUAUUUCAUUGCACCUGUCUGUAUUACGUCAAGGAUAUGUUUGACAUGCACAUAUUUAAUCCAGCAUUUAGAGAAGUUAGGCUUACUCCUCCUUGUCCCUGGCACUUGGGACACUUUACAGAGUCUAUGUAUGCCCAGAUUUUGAGGGGAUUUGGUCGAGAUCACGAUAUUAAAGAUUACAAAGUUGUUAUAUUGGUUGAGAGAAGGUUUCAUGUAACUAAAAUUCAUUCUCUAUUUAAAGCUUAUGUGUACAAUCUCAGUACUAACUCUUGGAGAGAGAGAUGCCAUGUUUCCAGCUUUAUGCGGUCCAGAUUACUGUGUGUUACUUGAUGGACGAAUGCAUUGGAGCGGAUUUGAUAGAGCAGCAAGGGAAAAAAGUGGAAUUUUCUUCCCAAAUGAACAGUGAAGUAGUCCAAAACAUAGGAUUGCCUGAUGCAGCAGUUGUGGACGUGAUUAUUCCUCCUUAUCUUGAUCUUCUAAAAUAAUCCCUUGCCUUAAUCUCAACAUGGAGGAGAAAUGGAGAAGAUUAUACAGAUAUACGGGUGAUGAAGUAAUAUGAUGUUAAAGGGAUCUUGGACAAAAAGCGCGCAUUUGAUUGAACCUGGACUGCAGGGAGACCUGAGCCCAGUGGUUUUCUGGGAAGAAUGAGCUCCUUGUGAGCAGAACCUUCCGAGAACAGUUGAUUUUGCUACCCCUAGCCAACAAGAAGUGCGAUGUUUCUAAUCAGUAUGGCCCGUGUCUGGACCUUGUCGUUUUCAAGGAAAGCUUGAUCUCAAUCAAGAGAACAAGUGACCAACUAUUAGUUUCUUCUUCUAUGGGCAAGCCAUGUUGUUUUUUUAAAGCAAAGUAGGCCUGUUAAUUGGGGUUGGCGAGCCAAGAACUUGGUUGUUAGUUUUUAUUUUUAUUUUUUUAAUUUUUUUGGGGAAUACAAGGAAUCAAGUAGCUAAGACUAAAUAGCUAAAUUGACUCCCAUACAUUUUAAGCCUGUUCCUUUUGCAUCAGCAGGGUGUAAUUUUCCUAGUCAAUUUCAAGGUUUGAGCACAGCAAAUCAAAUUUUCAUGUCAUCUGAUGCUUACACUUUCCUGAAAAUGUACAUCUCUGGCUUUACCUUAGCUUUCUUUUCAAGGCAUGCUGGAAGAUUAUUCAUGGUACAAGAUUAUUCAUGGCACACGAUGGAUUUCCCUGAAGACUUGUUGAUUGAAGUUCUACUGCACUUCCCAGUGAAAUCUCUGUUGAUAUGGUGAAGUGGCUGUAAAUCUUGGUAUGCUUUGAUCAAAAGCCCCAACUUCAUAGCUGUUCAUCUUAGCCGUGCCAAAAACAGCAAACUUCUCCUCAUCAGGCUCAGACAUGUUCCAAGCCACUGAAAGCCCCCUUACUUAACUGUGUAUCCAUCCAACCCUGGAGUCAAAUCCAUGACGUCCCCUCAACUGAUCUACAGCACUUACCAUUUUCCGAUAAUGGCCAUUAUGUUGACUUCAUAUGCCACUGCAACGGCCUGGUUUACAUCAGGGAUAUGAAUUACAUGUACUUAUAUAAUCCUGCAAUGCAGGAAAUCAGGUUUCUUCCCCCUGCGCCCAGCUGGAGAAAAGAGCCCUCAUAAGUAUUAGACAAAAAAAAAUUGCUGGAAAACGUGUUCGACGAAUUGACAAAUCCAUUGAUACAAAAUUUGCAAUAAAACUCAAUUAGUCGCAUCAAUUACGAAUUAGCAAUUAAUAUGAAUUUUAUUACCCAUUAAUGUCUGCAUAAUUGGACAACACAAAGAACUCUAUUAGCAAUUGAUCUCAAUCUAAUUGUAGAUUUAAAGAACUAAGUAUAUAGGUUUAGUCCCUAACACAACUCAAAGAACUCUAUUAACUAUUAAUAAUUGGAGAUUUAAAGCAGUAGAAGUUUAAUCAAAUCCAAUGCAAUACAUCUAUUUACAGCGAUCCAGGAGAAUUCAGUUUCACGUACAAACUUCAAAAUAGCAUUCAGGCAUGUCCCAUUCUUGGACCUAAUCCUCAUGGUUAAUUAAAUAACUAUAGGUUUCGUUUUCACUUUCUUUGAGCUACACUUCCCGAUUAACCUUUUUUUUUUGUUUCCUUUUCUCCUUUUAAUUUUUGAAUGGAUAUUCUUAUAUGGGAGUUGGUUUUCUAUUGCAGUUGUAAUUGACUAAUGUAGCUUUGAUUAGACUUGAUGCUUGAAGACUUAUAGACUCCUGCCUUUUUCAUUAAUUAGCUUAGUCAGGCCAUUAAUGAAUUCAAUUCACUUCAAGUACAUGUUUAUCUUUCUGAGUUUGUAAUCAAUUAAUAAGUUCCACGGAAAUAUUGAUUUGUCAUUCAUGAAUCAUGAAUGUAUAUAGAUAAUUGAUUUUCAUUGAAAAACCCAUGCAGGAAAAUGUAUUCACAAGCAUCAAUUAUUCCACUCAAAUCCCAGACCAACACAAAUAACUCUUCAACAAUGAACCUCAUACUCUUACGCUUUGAACAUGUGCAAAAGUGUGGAAAAACCAAAAGCCACGAAUGAAGAGAUUGAUCUUCAUUGACGAUGAAGCAAGUCUUCUUUCUUUCUUUUUUUUUUAAAGAAUACUUUUAUUUAUGCGAUUUCAUUAUUCACAAAAGAAUGUAUUAUUUUCAUCCUUUUACAUUCUUCUAUAUUCUUUUACAAAAUGCAUGAUUGGAUUAGCAACAAAAAACCCACAAAGAAAAGCCGCAACUAAGCAUGUUUGUAUUGAAACAAAAAGUUUCUAAAUUCUUGCUUCAAAUUUACAUGAGAUCCGAAACUACGUGGUUUUUUUUUUUUUUUUGCAUAAGUUAUCAUGUAAAUUUUUUGACACAUGGAACCCAACAAUUUAAUUAAUUGCAGUCUUAGGCUUUAAAUUGCAUACAUGCACGCUGGGGACGUCAAUCCCCAGCAACACUUUCUUGGGCCUUGGAUGCACUACCUACUUUAUGAAAUAGUUAGAUGUUUAUUUUAUUGUCAACUUUCCCCUUUUAUUUUAAUUUUACUUUAAUGUCUUUGAUAUCAUGAUUAUCUGUAUGCUCGUGUAAGACUUUAAUUUGUAAGUGAAAAUCUUUUAAUUCUAAGCUUCACAGUAACACCUCACAUUUACAACAAGGUACAAAAAGUACAAGAAAUUAAUAAAAGCAAUAAUUUAUCAAAUGCGACCGCCAAUCCAAACGACACAUAUCUUAUACUAAACGCUGUAACACAUAUCUCACAUCAAGUGCUACCGCCAAUCCAAUAAGCAAGCACUUUAUUAAUAUCCAUAUCAUUGUAAGCAAGGUCAAAGAUGAUAUAAGCAAACACAAUGUUGCUUGUAAGUACCAAAACAUUCCUCAAUUGCAAAAGGAAAUACUAAUAGGUAAUUAAGUUUUUGAAGUAUUAAAUUUUUUUUCUAAAUGUAAAGUUUUUUUUACAUUAUAAGACUAUAUGAACAUCUAGAUAUUUUAAGUUUUGUAUACAAAGUAAAAUCAUACUAUCAAAAAUAAAGUUACUUGUAGGCAAGCUCUAAUAAUUAUAAAUAAAAAGUAAGUUCCAAUUCAUUAAUAAUUUACUUAGUGCGUCACUAAUAUACCAUUAAUUAUUAUAUUAUCUUAGAUUAUAUUACUCGAUUUUAAUUUUUUUUUAAGGUUGGAAAUAUCUACCACAACUAUGUGAGAUGAUCUAGCACUCAAUGAAGGAAGUCCACCGCAGAACCAAAUUCAUGAAAAACCAAUAGUUGCAAUUUCAAGACUCAAGAAAAAGCCCGACCAAGGAACAAAUCAUGUUUACACACAAAAAAUGAGCUAAAACGAAUUCCUACAUGCAUAUCUUCUUAUAUAAGGGCAAGAACUAGAAGAGAUAUCAAUGUCAAUGUCCAAUGUUUUUAUAUGAGCUGUACCUCGUCCUUUAUUGUAUAAGAAAAUAUAGAUUUAGGAAUCAUUUUAGCUGAUUUUAUUUUAUUUUAUUUUUGUAAACAUGCAUUUGUACCUUGGUAGGUAUUUAUCAUGAGUCUUGAAAAUGCAACGACUGGUCUUUCAUGGAUCUAGUUUUGCAGUAGGCUUCUUUUAUUGGGUGCUAGGUUAUCCCACAUAGUUAUAGUAAAUGUUUCAAGCCAAAAAAACAAACAUAAAAUCUGGAUAUAUAAUCUAAGAUAAUAUACUUAUGGUAUAUUAGUGAAGCAUUAAAUAAUUGGUUAAUGCAUUCGAACUUACUAACACAGUACAGAACAGAUCUAUAUCAUUCUAAGGAAUAUUUGCAUUAAGAUGAAAUUACCAGUUACAUGUUUUUUUGGUCGAUCUACUAUAAAACUCUGAAGUAAUAUACACCUCUAAAUUGUAAAUUUUAUAGGGAAAAAAAGACGCACUUUUGCAGAAAAAGUAACCUAAACCCAUAUAUUUUGUGCUCGAGGUCCUAGAAUAGAAGGAUCUUUUAUUUACACAGUUCUUGGUAGUAUCUCAAUAUUUUUAACACCCCAAACCCCCCCCCCCCCUUUUCUUUAGUUAUUUAUAAUGUGCAUAUAAUUCUACUGUUCAAGUCACAGGUGGAGCUUAGCUUGACCAGCUUCUAUUUAAAUUAAACCCAGGUUAUCACUUAGGAUUUUUUGUAAAAUUUUUACUAAAUCUUUAAGGGUUGGAAUUAUAACUUUUCAGAUCUUGGAGGUGUCUACCUUCCCUCCAGCUAUCUACAUUAGAUCGUUGACGGCAUCACAUUAAAACAAUAUUCUGAUACUGUACUAAUUUUGGUUUGGAUGAUACUCGAGUGAUUCCGCAAAAGCACAAGCAAUACAACCAGAGGAAACAUCUGAAGAGAUUAGUGUAACACUAUAAGAUUGUCACCAACAUAUCUUGAUUCUUAAACAGCAAAAUUCACCAACAAGGACCGCAUAUGCGUAGCAAGGAGAAUAUACUAGAAAAAGAAAAAAAAAAUCAAAAGCAAGUAAUACAAUUAGUACUUGGUGUUAUCCCUAUUAAUUCCCAUUAACAAUUGCAACAAUUGGGCUCCGGACUGAGUACUUUGCAGAAUUCCAAGAAAGAGACCCUUGAGACACAAUCCCCUCAGCGGCCGCUUCCAAUCGAGUAAAGAUAACUUCAUAUGUCAACUUCUGAUUUACCUUUGAGAAAUUGAGAGUAUGAGGUACCACUGUCACUUUAACACCUUUGGGUGCAACAACCUUAACGUUGUACGUGGAUUUAGCCUCACCAACAUUGGUAACUGUUCUUGUGUACCUCUGAACAGGUGAUCCAAAAAUGAUUGAAAAUGAAGGGUAGUUUAACUGUGCUUCAGGUAUGCUUGAUUCUUUUGCGCAGUUCACCUUGCUUUGUGUUAAUAAACCGACCUCCUUGUCAGUGUAAUUCAUCAAACCGCACAAAUAUGGCACGUAGUCUGUUGGUUCAAUGUCAUAUAUUAGCCCUGGAUUGUUUGCUCUAGACGGAUUAACGUGGCCUGAACCAACUGCAAAAAUGCUUGCUGGAAGAUGCCUUUCAUCCUCAAUGGGGUUCUUCGCAAGAUUCACAAGAUCAGCUGUGGUCAUUAUCGCAGACUUAAUGGCUGCUGGAGACCAUUUAGGAUGAGCACUUUUCAGAAGUGCUGCAGCACCACUCAAAUGAGGGCAAGACAUUGAAGUGCCCGAGAUCACAUUGAAGUUCAGUUUUGAUUUCGUGUUGUUUUCGAUGGAUUCAUUCCAACCGGCGAGAAUGUUUACGCCAGGGCCAAUUAUAUCAGGCUUCAGAAUACCUGGGCUUGCUCGGCUUGGACCUCUAGAAGAAAAAGAAGCGACCAUUGGAGCAUGAUUGUGUCCAAUGACAGUUCCUUUGAAAGAGAUCGCUGCAACAGGUGACUUCGUUGAGUUUAUGUAGGCCAUGACCUUGAGUCCAUCAGCAUAACUUAAAAGGGUAGCAGGAAGGACAUGAGCAUCAGCGAAAGUGGUGUAACCAUCCUUCUCUGGGUUAAUAAGUAUCAUUCCAACACCAUCAAGAUCCUUGAUGUUUUGCCCCUUUUCAAUUCCUGUAAGAUCACCUCCAACAUGGCAAACCACUAUCUUUCCCUCCACUUCAGUCUUGUUCAGUGAUGCUGCGUUGCAGUAUCGUGAGUCCAAAUCACUCUGGUUCAUGCCUGCAGGGUAGAAUAAAGGAUGCAAUGCGGGAGGAAAAUCCUUGGGUUGAUAUAGUGACUCGCCAUGAAAUUCCUGCUUGUUACCAAGCACGGCAGUUGCCCUUAUGUUUCUGUCAAUGGUGCUUGCACCAACAGUCAUGACCCAGGGGGCUUCAUUGGAUAAAGAACUUUCAAAUGGGCCAUCAUUUCCUGCUGAGCAACUGACAAAAAUUCCUUUUUGCAUUGCACUGUAUGCUCCUAGCAAUACACUAUUUGCAUAAAACUGAUCUUCCCCUCCUACAAGAGAAAUGGAAAGGAUAUCAACCCCAUCUUCUAUAGCAGCAUCCAUAGCAGCUAUUAUAUCACUCUCUGAACAUCCAUCUGGUGUACAUACUUUAUACAUGGCCAAGUGAGCAAGAGGGGCAAUACCAACUGCAGUUCCAUUGGCAUUGCCUAAUACAUUUGCACCUCUGACGUAGUUUCCAGCAGCUGUGCUUGCUGUGUGAGUACCAUGGCCAAUCUCAUCCAAUGGCGAACCAUUCCCAUCGUGGAAAUAUCUGGCUCCUAUCAGUUUGUUGUUGCAAACUGAUGAAUUGAAGUCGCACCUCCCCUUCCAUUUAGCAGGUGGUGGAGGCAUUCCUUCAUCAUCGAACGAAGGGUGGUCAGGGACAAUCCCAGUGUCCACCACUCCAAUGAUGAUUUCUCUGCCGUAGUUUGAUUGCCUCCAAAACCCCGAGUUCUGUUGCAAAUUCAGCCCCAAAAAGCUAGGAGUGUGGGUGGUACUCAGAGACAGCAUCUUCUGUUUUCGUGCUAGUACAAAACCAGGCUUCUUUUCCAUCUCUUUUACGUCCUCAGCUGAUAGUUUGGCAGCAAAUCCUUUGAAAACAUUGCGAUAAGAAUAAACAAUGCGAGGACUUGCUUCAUUUGAGCUUGCAGUAGCUGUUGUUGGUAAAAAAGAGUUGUACCAAGUUUCAAGAUAUUCAUUUGACCUGAAAUCUGCAGUGGAAAUUUGAUCAAUGUCAUCAGGCAACUCAACAUGGAUAAUGUAAGUCUCUAAAAUGGUUUGUCCAUGCAAAUCAUGCGAAGAGAUAGGCAAUGAAUAAAAAGUGAUGGCCAGUAUCAUCAGGGUAAGAAUAUGCAAUGAAGUCAUAUUGUUAAUAUCCAGGAAGAUAUCAACUAAUUGGACAGUAUCUUGGGUUGAAGACUAUCAGUUGACAGAGGAAGAAAAUAAUCAAAAGUACGUAGUUGGAUAAGGAAGUUCUUAAUGUAUGAUUUGGUUGUGGUGUCUGAAUUAUGGGAAGCUGCAGCCAUAUUUAUAGGGAGUGCCCCCAAUAUUUUAUUUGUAAAACUACUAUAUUAGAUUUUCAGUCCCAUUCCUGAAGCAUGGGAUGUAAUUCUCUGGCUGAUGGUGGGAACUGGGAAGCUACCCCGGAAGUUACACAAACAUUCUCCUCCUUGGUUCAGGACUUUUCAAAGAAUCAUUUACUAUUUUUUCUUCUAAUGGUUUUCAAUGGUCAAAUCAUAUAUUUUUUUUCCAUAACAAUUCAAAUUACAAGUUAGAACAGCGAGAAAUUCUAUUUUGGAUUGUCAUUAUAACAUGUACAGUUCUAUCAUGAAAUGAGAACCCUUUAUUUUGGAAGCCAUAACCUUUCACAUUGUAGGCAGUACAAAUUAUACAACCAACCCUUUGCUCUUCCUUCCAUUCAAUAAAGUCUCUCCUAGGUUAUCCUAGUGAGAGUUUUCUUCUCUCCUAGGGUGUCCUAUUGAGAGUUUUAGUCUCUCCUAAACUAUCUUAGUGAGAGUUUUAUUUAGUUUUGUUCUUUACUUUUUCAGAUCUUGGAGUUUUUUUUUUAGAUCUAUAUGUUAGAUCUACAAUUUUUUUAGUCUUCUCAUCAGAUCUCACUUUCAGUAUUGAACUUGAACUAGUUGGAUAGCAGAUCUGAGGGAAUAUUUCAGAUUUGGAUCAAUCUCGGCAGAUCUCACCAUCUUUAUUGGACCUUACAACUGUUGAUUAGCAGAUCUGACGAUUACAGCAUACACAAAGAGAGCUGCAGCGACUUAUUCUAUGAUGAAAUGUUUUUCAAAUUUAUCUGUCCUUAAUUUCUCAGAACUUACGUAUUUGUUAAAUUGCAGAUCUAUAAUUUUAGUGCAUGUUUAUCUGCCAUCAGGGCAGCAAUGUAUCUCAAUUGUGCUGGAUGAUUUCCAGUAAUCCUUUAAUGAAAUAUGUUUUAUUAUCAAAAAAAAAAUUAUACAACCAACAAAUUGAUGGCAAUCUUGGCUGAAUAGGGGUUGGAAACUAUUUUCAACCAAGUGAUAUCAUCCUUGGCUAAAAUUGAUACAAACAACCAAUGCUCUAUUCAUGCUCACUCAUCAAAAAAGUGCUUGCAUUGCAACUUCAAAACUUUAAUCAAUUGCCACACUUUGAAAUUUUGAAGCAAAACAAAGUUGUCUACUCAGAAAUAGAACAGUUUCCACAAUCAUCUUCAUUCCAAGUGUCUAGAAUCCUCCUCCAUGAGCAAAUCAACAACAUUCAUGGCAUCCAAAUGAAGUUAAGAGAGAAACUUCAUGAGAAUUUUGGAAUUCAAAGGUUCGUAGUCAAAAUUUCUAAUGUAGAUUUCUUCACAAAUGAUCUUGAGUAUGAAAAUGUGUUUUGAGUCCCCCUAUAUUGUGCAACCUUACUUAGGGAGUUUACCUUUUCAAUGAGAUACUUCUAUUUAUUUUUAACAAUUGUUGGGAACACAAAAUUUCACCUGUUUCUCAUUUAAAUUUUCCCUUCAUUUACCAAGAAAAAAAUUUUCUCUUCAAAUUUCUGUCCUCUAUAUAUUGUCGGCAUAAAAAAAAAUAGAAAUUAAAUAAUCUCAACAACUUGUACUUUUACCAUAUUUCAACUUUCAAUAAGAGGAAGUAUAAAUAAAAUAAUAUAUUGAUCCAGAUGUUCAUUUGACAAUUUUAUAGAGAGAAUGUUUGAAUAUAUACAUCGUAAGUUAUAAUAAAAUGGCAUACAAACAAGAAUGUAGAGCCAAGUACUUGACGUAGAUAUUUUACAGAUGAAAAUAAAAAAAAUCAAUGGAAACAUGAAUGCAAGUUAAUGGUUUAGAGAUAUUUGUUAAUCCAAUGGAUGCUCUCAACAAGUAUGAAAAAAUAUUACUAAGUAAAAGCAUAUAGAACAAGAAUCAAUUAAGCAAAUCAAAGAGCUUAUAAGUGAGUAGUAGUUAAAAUUUAUUGUAAGGCAAAAUCUUGGAGAGAACGGGCAACAGGAUUUUAUCAAAAUUUUACUGGCCGAGAGAACAACAUUUUACAAAAAUUUUCAGAACUUAACAGGGGUUUAAUUUUCAAAUCAAUUUGACAACUUAAUCACGUGGAAGUAAAUUUGGUGAUUAUUCAACCUUAAACAUCUUAUCGAAGUCAAAACUUUGCUUCUGUAGAGAUUUGACAUCAACACUACGAAUUUGACCAGGUACAAAUCACUACCACAUUGCUUUGCUAUAUCUAGAGGAAAUUUUCUUUUAGUGAUUUGGAAACAAGAAAAGAUAACACAACUUCAAAGUUUUUUGUUUUGGUUUGCCGCAACGAGUGUGCUUUGGCACUUCUUUUAAAUUUUUUUUCAGUGUAGGUGGGACUCGAACUGCCAACCUACAACCCAAAGAGAGAAUUAAUUCUUUUUGGUGGCCACUAAACCAAAAUUCAAUGGUUUGAAAUAACUUCAAAGUUGAAAACAGGAAAAAUAUAAAACUAAUUCAUUAAUGCAUUCGAAUCCAUAUCUUACCAAGGCAAGCAUUUUUUUUUUUUUAAUACAUUUGGGUGUUACUAGAUUUCGAAUUUAAAUCCCUAGAGAGGAUUUCAGUACUAAAAAAAUACUUUAGUGAAUUACAAAAUCAAAUAUUUUUCGUGUAAUACAAACAAUUUAAAAGAAUUUGACAGUAUUUCAAAUCCUUCAUCGAAUCCACCAAUAAUACAAAUAAAGCAUUGCUAUCGUGUAUAUUACAAUUUUUCAUACGAUUAAGUUACAUUAUCAUGUUAUAAAUCAAACGAGGGUAGUCACCCCUAUAAUGACAGCACCAAGAAUCUGUCUAUAGAGUGUAUUACAUUCCUAUUACUAUCAUGUUAUAUUGGAUGGUACUAGGGAAAGAUGAUGUUCCUCUUUUUGUACAUUCAUCCACAUGCUGAAACUACACUAAACUAUUCGUCAAUGAGAUUUGGCGACCAGAAACUUCAUCCACUGGCCUUUGUCUACGCCACCAGAUUUUUCUGAUCAGACAUUCAUCCACUGGUCAAUCAGAUUCCAGAGAUGAAGUUUCUAUUCAAACAUUCAUCCACUGAGCUUUUUUCUGCACCACUACCACUAAUUGUAAAUUAUGCACCAUGGACAACAAGUGGACUACUAGUCUACUACUAUUGCUUGAACAGAUUUAUUCUAGAGAACUUGCAGCGAAUUUAAUUGUAAAGUGGGAGCAAUUAUCAGGAAUUCUUGUUUUCUAUCUUGGGUUUGUCUUCAAAGAAGAAAAAGAAAGGCUUGCUAAUUGCUAUAAAAUGUUUAAUUAGAAACUUGCUUAAAACAAUUUCACUAUUUUCUCUCUUAUAAUCGUUAAUUUCCUUAAUAAAAUACUCAUCCAAAUCACAAUUUUUUUUUCUAUCUCUAAGAUAUUAAAUGUGGGCAUAGUUGUUCCUUUUCUCGUAUUAAAGCACUGAAAGACUAAAGGGAUAAAACCCAAAAAAAAGAAGAAGAAGAAGAAGAACGUUUUGAUGAAGUGUAUAUCUUCUUUAGCAUAAUGAUACUCAGGAUCUGGUUGUCCUUGAUAGCAUAUAUUUUUGAAUCGGAUUAAAAUCACAAUAAAAAUCUUUCUUUGGAGAAUGUUUCCAACAAAUAUACUGUAGGGAGUUUUGGAUUGCUAUUUUUAGAAGUUUUUGUUAGAAAAUAUACUCUAGCAAUUUGAUGUAUGUGAAGUAAAAAGGUGAUUGGAAAAUAUAUUCACAAAAAUAUAAAUUUUUUUUUGCAAAAAAUCACAAUCCAAACAAGGGUUUUGCAAAUUAAGCUCUCAAAAAGCUCCUUUAAAAUUCACUUUUUGCAAUAGCAACUGUAAAAAAAAAAAGCUAACAAGCUUUUCACAUAAUUUGUUUGUUACCACAUGCUGCAUGCCCCCUUAAAUAAAGAUUAGAUGAAAUACACAUCAUAUUUACAAUCCUUCAAUUCUUAAUCUUCAUAUCUAAAUGGUUUAUGCGUAUGGAACCAAAAUAGGUUUAUAGACAAUAUAUUGCACGUCUACAUCGUAUUGCCAACCACCCACACUUGAUCUUUUGACCUCUUUGUUUUCACUGUUUAAGAAAAAAGAAGAAUAAAGAAGAUAGCCCACUACAAAAAAGCACAUUUUGCAAUAAUCACUCAUGAAGAAAGAAAAGGAAUAAGGCCAAAAUCAAGCUGCCUUUCUCGGCAUCAUUCACUUUUUUUUUUUUAAGUACUUCUGUAAUUCUCAUUUUUACACUUGUUUUUUUAAUGGGCCAAUUGGGCAGAUUAUUAUAGAGAAUAUGCGUGAGACACGCACAGAAAAGAAAGAUUUUUUUUUUUUUUUUGCCUUUUUACAUCAGUGUGGUCAAAGGUUCUCACAUGAUAUCCAAUGAAAUUAAACAUAUUUGUUUCUUCGAUUUAAUUUUUCUUGAAUUAAAUAAAUGCUUACAUAAUCAAAUUAGCAAUUUGCUUAUUAGAUGCUUUCGUUUUCAGUAUUUUUCAGUAUUAGAUGCCAUGAUGAGUCAUGGGCGUGAAACACGUAGAACAAAGAUAAGGGAUUCCACCUUUCACAUCACUUUGGUCAAAUAUUCUCACAUGACGUGUAUGAAAUUAAAAUUAUUUAUCUAUUUAAUUUUGUGAAUUAAUUAUACAUGCUUUACCAAUUAGAAUUAGCAUUUUACUCGUUAGAUUGUGACUUCUUCAAUAGUAAUUAAAUUCAAACUUGGGUUUUUUUCUUUUUUUUUUUAAUACUUUUUGUAGUUAAGGAAUAAGGACUGUAAAGUUAAUUUGGCAGACCUCCAUGUCCAAAAGUGCUGCACUAUUCCCCUUUAUAUAACAAAAUAAUGACGAAUUAAAAAGCAAACCGGCCCUUUCGGCCUUCCCUAAUAGAAGACCCGGAGCAAAAGGAUGACUUGUUGAAUUUUAGACAAGUAUUCAAAAGAAAUUUGAGAAAAAAGACAUCAAGGCUAUGAGUGGUAAUUCUCGACACGACUCCAAUUUAAUAUGAAAUUAGCGAGUAUGCAUUUACUCUUCAUGAAUUAGAUCUGAAUAAUCGAUCAAGCAAAUAGCUCCAAAUCAAGCCAAUCACGGGUUGACCUAUUUGAUUCAUUUGACCCAUUAAAUGUGUAAUUUUAUAAUUUAAUAAAUAAAUUGGGGGCAUAAAGUAAAUAAAAUAACUAAUCUAGGCCAUCAAUUAGUAUUACGAGAACAUAAUCAUGGAUUUUAUGUGAAAAUUAUAGAUUUUAUUUGUGAAAGUGUCAUGGGUUUAUUAUUGUUCAAGAGAUUCCCCCCCCCAAAAAAAAAGAAAACGAAAAAAGUACUACAAGCAACAUAUACGAAAUAUAGAAUUGAGCUGCAAUUUUCUAUAUUUUUAUGGAAACUUCAUUAUAGAAAAAUCCACCAUACUAUCAAGGUGAGAAGCUCAGAAAAGAAAAAAAAAAAUUAAGCAAACAAGUUAUUCUAACUAAGUUCGGAUAACCCACAAAAUUAAUGAGUCAUGUUCGGAGAUCGACCCAUUCAAUCUUGCUGAUCAUAUUCAGGUUGAUGUAUUAUUAGAAUACUAGAAUAUUAACCCGACCCAUCAACUCAUGGCCUGACCCGAUUGCCAUAUCUAAAGCUGUACAAUUAAAUAUCUUCAAACAUCUUGAAAAUACUAUCAUCUCAAAUCUCUAUACCUCGUACAAUACAGUCUUAACAUUAUCCAAAAUUUGAAAUUAAAGUUACAAUGGAAGAAAAUAUUAUUUUUUUCAAGCUUUUAGCUUAUGGGUUUUAUUCUGUACAGAAAAUUAUAAAUUGAGAGACAUGUUUGAAUUUAUGGUUUCCUAUUUUCCCUAUACGGUUUAACAGCAAUCGCCAAUUCUGCAGCCUUGAAAAAAUGUUCACCCUUAUGUCUUGAUGACUCCAGUUACAUAUAUUGUUUAUUAAUGAAAUCCCAGGCACCAAAACUCAUUUUUUGUUGCUUGAUUCUUGAUUGUCUUUCCUCGAAAUCCCAAGCUUGACAAGGGAUGUAUUGGACGUGAUCUCAUGCAAACAGACAGCAAAGCAAACGUUUGGAGUUGAAACCAGAUCCGACUCUCAAUUUCAUGUAGAUAUUGUAUAUUCUACCCUGAGUUGUUAUGCACAAAAAAUUGAAAAAGAUAGUUUAUUAUGGUUGUAUUAAAUGGAAUGAAGCAAAAAAAGGAAGUAGAAUUUCUACUACUCUAUACUGAGUAGCAUUCUGAUCACUUGACCCCUUUUCAUGUACCAGAAGCAUCCAAAGUGAACCAUCCAUUAACUUUCUAGUAAUGAAAUUGUCAGUUUUCCUUCAUUUUAUGAAGGAUGGAGGAAUGAUGUUUACAAGAGCAACAUUGCAUCUGAUGCUCUUAUACAGAACUCCACUUGACUUCACAAUCCUCGUAAAUUAAUGACAGAAAAAAUAAUCAGCUAUCUAGCAACUGAGUAAAUCGUUCACCUUAUAAGGGAUUAAAAUCCAUCUAACACC
rnacentral:lncRNA from 1 species